rnacentral:lncRNA from 1 species
UCAGUAUCAAAAUAACAACCAAAAAGUAUACUCAAUGAAAGAGUCCGAAUCUUACUUAGAUACAUACAGGAGUCUGAAUCCUACUUAGAUACAUACACCAAGUUCACGUCCAAUGCCACAUCGUACCGGGCCGUGUAUACGUACAUGCCAUUGUCAGUCUGACUCAGUAUUAAAAUAACACCCAGAAAAUAUACUCAAUGAAAGAGUCUGAAUCCUACUUAGAUACAUACAGGAGGCCGAAACCUACUUGGAGGCAGGUAUCGCUGGUGCUACAAAUACACCUGUAUCUCCACGUGAUUCUUACACAAUCUCAAGUCUUCAGUUCAAUCAAAUAGAAUCAGUUUCACACGUCGCCUUCUAGAUACAUUUGGUUCAAUUAAGCUGCUAAGCUCCCAAGUCUGCUUAACAUCAGGUAUUUUCGUUGCGUAUUUUCAUAUACGACAUCCUUCAACAUCUUUUUCUUUUUGCGAAUUCUUCAACAUCUUUAUGAACACCGGUAACUGCCAUGAAAUGAAUAAGUUUAUCAUUAGCAAUUUGAAAUUUCCGAACAAAUAGUACACCAGACCGUACUUUGAGCAACAAAUUUACAAGAUUUUAUAUAUGACACAUUGAAUCAUAUUUAAACAUCAUUGUUGACAAGGAAAAAAUAGAUGCAAUUAUUGGACUAGAUUGCACACUGAACUAACAUAUACAAGUUUAAUCAAUUUUCCAUUUCUAAUAUUUCUUACACUUCCAAAACUCUCAUGCAGGCAAGCAUUUUGAUCACAUUCUCCAGAGAUGGAUGCUAAGGAAAGAAGAAGGAAACAAGACAGAGAGCGCUAUGAACAGAUGGCCAAUGAAAAAAGAGAGGAAAAACUCAAAAAAGGCCGUGAAGCCUAUCAACAAAAGAAAGAAAAAAUAUGCGCACAACAAAGGCAGAUAUAUGCAAAAAUGCAGCCGGAACAAAAGAAAGCUAGAAAAGAACAUAUCAAUGAAUUGAAACGCAACACAGCAAGCAAAGACUCCAUUGCACGGGAGAACCCUGCCUAUAUUGCAACUGAAAAAGAAGUUGGUACUUCUACCUUUCCUGAUUACAGAAAGCAUGUCACACCAGGAGAAAGGCAAACAUUGCUACACCGUCGUAACAAAGAAUUCACGACAAGACAGAGGCAUGUAUCAUCGAAACAAGAUGUAUCUAUGACGGAAACCGGCGACGAUGACACAGAACCUCUACAGCAACCAGAAGAAAUGAUUUACGGUAAUACUCUAAAUUUUACACAAUACUCGCAUUCAAAAUAAAUAUACGAAUGUUUGUAGAACUAACCAUCUUUUAUGGACAGAUAUCCCUAAUCAAUGUUUCCAAGCAUCAAAGAAGCGGAUACACCAACACAGACAUUCUACAAUGACGAUCAAAAUAAGGUGGCAUUGUGGCCAGACAUCCCGUCUUCAAUGUUUCCAGCAAUCAAAGAAGUAGAUGCACGAAUACAAACAUUAUACAAUGAUGUUCAUGGUAAGGUUAUAAAAUUUCUUAUAUAUUUUUAUGCAAUACAAAAAUUACAUAUAUAUAUAUAAAUAAUUAAUUAAUUACUACACAGGUAAGGAUGAGAUUAUAUGUGAGCAUGAUGCAACCAUGAAAGUGAAGGAAAAUGCCCUAGAGGCAAUAAUAAAGUUAUUAUUUAUUUCCUUAUAUCAUGAUAAAUGUUUAUUAUUCAUGCUAAAAUUGUAUUAACCAGAAACAUAAUACAUGUGUGAAUACAUAGACAAACAAAGUAUCACUAGUAUGCCUCUACUUGACUAGCUCGUUAAUCAAAGAUGGUUAUGUUUUCUAACCAUGAACAAUGAGUUGUUAUUUGAUUAACGGGAUCACAUCAUUAAGUGAAUGAUCUGAUUGACAUGACCCAUUCCAUUAGCUUAGCACCCGAUCGUUUAGUAUGUUGCUAUUGCUUUCUUCAUGACUUAUACAUGUUCCUAUAACUAUGAGAUUAUGCAACUCCCGUUUACCGGAGGAACACUUUGGGUGCUACCAAACGUCACAACAUAACUGGGUGAUUAUAAAGGAGUACUACAGGUGUCUCCAAAGGUACAUGUUGGGUUGGCGUAUUUCAAGAUUACGUUUUGUCACUCUGAUUGUCGGAGAGGUAUCUCUGGGCCCUCUCGGUAAUGCACAUCACUUAAGCCUUGCAAGCAUUGCAACUAAUGAGUUAGUUGCGGGAUGAUGUAUUACAGAACGAGUAAAGAGACUUGCCGGCAACGAGAUUGAACUAGGUAUUGGAAUACCGACGAUCGAAUCUCGGGCAAGUAACAUACCGAUGACAAAGGGAACGAUGUAUGUUGUUAUGCGGUCUGACCGAUAAAGAUCUUCGUAGAAUAUGUAGGAGCCAAUAUGGGCAUCCAGGUCCCGCUAUUGGUUAUUGACCGGAGACGUGUCUCGGUCAUGUCUACAUUAUUCUCGAACCCGUAGGGUCCGCAAGCUUAAGGUUACGAUGACAGUUAUAUUAUGAGUUUAUGCAUUUUGAUGUACCGAAGUUUUUUCGGAGCCCCGGAUGUGAUCACGGACAUGACGAGGAGUCUCGAAAUGGUCGAGACAUAAAGAUUGAUAUAUUGGAAGCCUAUGUUUGGAUAUCGGAAGUGUUCCGGGUGAAAUCGAGAUUUUACCGGAGUACCGGGAGGUUACCGGAACCCCCCGGGAGCUAGAUGGGCCAUAGUGGGACUUAGUGGAAAAGAGAAGGGGCUGCCCAAAGUGGGAUGCGCGCCCCUCCCUUCCCUUGGUCCGAAUAGGACAAGGAGAGGGGGCCGGCCACCGUCUCUCUCUUCCCCCCUCCGCGAAUCCUAUUCCAACUAGGAUUGGGGGGGGGGGAAUCCUACUCCCAGAGGGAGUAGGACUCUCCUGGCGCGCCUCUCCUAGGCCGGCCGCACCCCCCUUUAGUCCUUUAUAUACGGAGGCAGGGGCACCCCAGAAACACACAAGUUGAUCCACGUGAUCUUUUCCUUAGCCGUGUGCGGCGCCCCCAGCCACCAUAGUCCUCGAUAAUAUUGUAGCGGAGUUUAGGCGAAGCCCUACUGCAGUAGUACAUCAAGAUCGUCACCACGCCGUCGUGCUGGCGGAACUCUUCCCCGACACUUUGCUGGAUCGGAGUCCGGGGAUCGUCAUCGAGCUGAACGUGUGCUAAAACUCGGAGGUGCCGUAGUUUCGGUGCUUGAUCGGUCGGGCCAUGAAGACGUACGACUACAUCAACCAAACGCUUCCAUUGUCGAUCUACUAGGUAUGUAGAUCACACUCCCCCCUCUUGUUGCUAUGCAUCACAUGAUCUUGCGUGUGCGUAGGAAUUUUUUUGAAAUUACUACGUUCCCCUACAGUGGCAUCCGAGCCUAGGUUUUAUAUGUUGAUGUUAUAUGCACGAGUAGAACACAAGUGAGUUGUGGGCGAUAUAAGUCAUACUGCUUACCAGCAUGUCAUACUUUGGUUCGGCGGUAUUGUUGGAUGAAGCGGCCCAGACCGACAUUACGCGUACGCUUACGCAAGACCGGUUCUCCCGACGUGCUUUGCACAGAGGUGGCUUGUGGGUGACAGUUUCUCCAACUUUAGUUGAACUGAGUGUGGCUACGCCCGGUCCUUGCGAAAGUUAAAACAGCACCAACUUGACAAACUAUCAUUGUGGUUUUGAUGCGUAGGUAAGAUUGGUUCUUGCUUAAGCCCGUAGUAGCCACGUAAAACUUGCAACAACAAAAUAGAGGACGUCUAACUUGUUUUUGCAGGGCAUGUUGUGAUGUGAUAUGGUCAAGACAUGAUGCUGAUUUUUAUUGUAUGAGAUGAUCAUGUUUUGUAACCGAGUUAUCGGCAACUGGCAGGAGCCAUAUGGUUGUCGCUUUAUUGUAUGCAAGCAAUCGCGAUGUAAUGCUUUACUUUAUCACUAAACGGUAGCGAUAGUCGUGGAAGCACAAGCUUGGCGAGACGACAACGACGCUACGAUGGAGAUCAAGGUGUCACGCCGGUGACGAUGGUGAUCACGAUGAUGCUUCGGAGAUGGAGAUCACAAGCACAAGAUGAUGAUGGCCAUAUCAUAUCACUUAUAUUGAUUGCAUGUGAUGUUUAUCUUUUAUGCAUCUUAUCUUGCUUUGAUUGACAGUAGCAUUAUAAGAUGAUCUCUCACUAAUUAUCAAGAAGUGUUCUUCCUGAGUAUGCACCGUUGCGAAAGUUCUUCGUGCUGAGACACCACGUGAUGAUAGGGUGUGAUAGGUUCUACGUUCAAAUACAACGGGUGCAAAACAGUUGCACACGCGGAAUACUCAGGUUAUACUUGACGAGCCAAGCAUAUACAGAUAUGGCCUCGGAACACGGAGACCGAAAGGUCGAGCGUGAAUCAUAUAGUAGAUAUGAUCAACAUAAUGAUGUUCACCAAUGAAACUACUCCAUCUCACGUGAUGAUCGGACAUGGUUUAGUUGAUUUGGAUCACGUAAUCACUUAGAGGAUUAGAGGGAUGUCUAUCUAAGUGGGAGUUCUUUAAGUAAAUUAACUGAACUUAAAUUUAUCAUGAAACUUAGUACCUGAUAAGUAUCUUGCUUGUUUAUGCUUGUUUGUAGAUAGAUGGCUCGUGCUGUUGUUCCGUUGAAUUUUAAUGCGUUCCUUGAGAAAGCAAAGUUGAAAGAUGAUGGUAGCAAUUACACGGACUGGGUCCGUAACUUGAGGAUUACCCUCAUUGCUGCACAGAAGAAUUACGUCCUGGAAGCACCGCUGGGUGCCAGGCCUGCUGCAGGAGCAACGCCGGAUGUUAUGAACGUCUGGCAGAGCAAAGCUUAUGACUACUCGAUAGUUCAGUGUGCCAAGCUUUACGGCUUAGAAUCGGGACUUCAACGACGUUUUGAACGUCAUGGAGCAUAUGAGAUGUUCCAGGAGUUGAAGUUAAUAUUUCAAGCAAAUGCCCGGAUUGAGAGAUAUGAAGUCUCCAAUAAGUUCUAUAGCUGCAAGAUGGAGGAGAACAGUUCUGUUAGUGAGCAUAUACUCAAAAUGUCUGGGUAUAAUAAUCACUUGAUUCAAUUGGGAGUUAAUCUUCCAGAUGAUUGCGUCAUUGACAGAAUUCUCCAAUCACUGCCACCAAGCUACAAGAGCUUCGUGAUGAACUAUAAUAUGCAAGGGAUGAAUAAUACUAUUCCCGAGCUCUUCGCAAUGCUGAAAGCUGCGGAGGUAGAAAUCAAGAAGGAGCAUCAAGUGUUGAUGGUCAACAAGACCACUAGUUUCAAGAAAAAGGGCAAAGGAAAGAAGAAGGGGAACUUCAAAAAGAACGGCAAGCAAGUUGCUACUCAAGAGAAGAAACUCAAACCUGGACCUAAGCCUGAAACUGAGUGCUUCUAUUGCAAGCAGACUGGUCACUGGAAGCGGAACUGCCCCAAGUAUUUGGCGGAUAAGAAGGAUGGCAAGGUGAACAAAGGUAUAUGUGAUAUACAUGUUAUUGAUGUGUACCUUACUAAUGCUCGCAGUAGCACCUGGGUAUUUGAUACUGGUUCUAUUGCUAAUAUUUGCAACUCGAAACAGGGACUACGGAUUAAGCGAAGAUUGGCUAAGGACGAGGUGACGAUGCGCGUGGGAAACGGUUCCAAAGUCGAUGUGAUCGCAGUCGGCACGCUACCUCUACAUCUACCUUCGGGAUUAAUAUUAGACCUAAAUAAUUGUUAUUUGGUGACAGCGUUAAGCAUGAACAUUAUUUCUGGAUCUUGUUUGAUGCGAGACGGUUAUUCAUUUAAAUCAGAGAAUAAUGGUUGUUCUAUUUAUAUGAGUAAUAUCUUUUAUGGUCAUGCACCCUUGAAGAGUGGUCUAUUCUUGUUGAAUCUCGAUAGUAGUAACACACAUAUUCAUAAUGUUGAAGCCAAAAGAUGCAGAGUUGAUAAUGAUAGUGCAACUUAUUUGUGGCACUGCCGUUUAGGUCAUAUCGGUGUAAAGCGCAUGAAGAAACUCCAUACUGAUGGACUUUUGGAACCACUUGAUUAUGAAUCACUUGGUACUUGCGAACCGUGCCUCAUGGGCAAGAUGACUAAAAUGCCGUUCUCCGGUACUAUGGAGAGAGCAACAGAUUUGUUGGAAAUCAUACAUACAGAUGUAUGUGGUCCGAUGAAUAUUGAGGCUCGUGGCGGAUAUCGUUAUUUUCUCACCUUCACAGAUGAUUUAAGCAGAUAUGGGUAUAUCUACUUAAUGAAACAUAAGUCUGAAACGUUUGAAAAGUUCAAGGAAUUUCAGAGUGAAGUUGAAAAUCAUCGUAACAAGAAAAUAAAGUUUCUACGAUCUGAUUAUGGAGGAGAAUAUUUGAGUUACGAGUUUGGUGUACAUUUGAAAAAUUGUGGAAUAGUUUCGCAACUCACGCCACCCGGAACACCACAGCGUAAUGGUGUGUCCGAACGUCGUAAUCGUACUUUACUAGAUAUGGUGCGAUCUAUGAUGUCUCUUACUGAUUUACCGCUAUCGUUUUGGGGGUACGCUCUAGAGACGGCCGCAUUCACGUUAAAUACGGCACCAUCAAAAUCCGUUGAGACGACGCCUUAUGAACUGUGGUUUGGCAAGAAACCAAAGUUGUCGUUUCUGAAAGUUUGGGGCUGCGAUGCUUAUGUGAAAAAGCUUCAACCUGAUAAGCUCGAACCCAAAUCGGAGAAAUGUGUCUUCAUAGGAUAUCCAAAGGAGACUAUUGGAUACACCUUCUAUCACAUAUCCAAAGGCAAGACUUUUGUUGCUAACUUUGGAAACUUUCUAGAGAAGGAGUUUCUCUCGAAAGAAGUGAGUGGGAGGAAAGUAGAACUUGACGAGGUAACUGUACCUACUCCCUUACUGGAAAGUAGUACAUCAUAGAAAACUGUUUCUGUGACACCUACACCAGUUAGUGAGGAAGCUAAUGAUGAUGAUCAUGAAACUUCAGAACAAGAUACUACUGAACCUCGUAGAUCAACCAGAGUAAGAUCCGCACUAGAGUGGUAUGGUAAUCCCGUUCUGGAAGUCAUGCUACUAGAUCAUGAUGAACCUACGAACUAUGAAGAAGCGAUGGUGAGCCCAGAUUCCGCAAAGUGGCUUGAAGCCAUGAAAUCUGAGAUGGGAUCCAUGUAUGAGAACAAAGUAUGGACUUUGGUUGACUUGCCCGAUGAUCGGCGAGCAAUUGAAAAUAAAUGGAUCUUCAAGAAGGAGACUGACGCUGACGGUAAUAUUACUGUCUACAAAGCUCGACUUGUCGCAAAAGGUUUUCGGCAAGUUCAAGGGAUUGACUACGAUGAGACCUUCUCACCCGUAGCGAUGCUUAAGUCUGUCCGAAUCAUAUUAGCAAUUGCCGCAUUUUAUGAUUAUGAAAUUUGGCAGAUGGAUGUCAAAACUGCAUUCCUGAAUGGAUUUCUGGAAGAAGAGUUGCAUAUGAUGCAACCAGAAGGUUUUGUCGAUCCAAAGGGAGCUAACAAAGUGUGCAAGCUCCAGCGAUCCAUUUAUGGACUGGUGCAAGCCUCUCGGAGUUGGAAUAAACGUUUUGAUAGUGUGAUCAAAGCAUAUGGUUUUAUACAGACUUUUGGAGAAGCCUGUAUUUACAAGAAAGUGAGUGGGAGAUCUAUAGCAUUUCUGAUAUUAUAUGUGGAUGACAUAUUACUAAUUGGAAAUGAUGUAGAAUUUCUGGAUAGCAUAAAGGGAUACUUAUAUAAGAGUUUUUCAAUGAAAGACCUCGGUGAAGCUGCUUACAUAUUAGGCAUUAAGAUCUAUAGAGAUAGAUCAAGACGCUUAAUUGGACUUUCACAAACCACAUACCUUGACAAAGUUUUGAAGAAGUUCAAAAUGGAUCAAGCAAAGAAAGGGUUCUUGCCUGUGUUACAAGGUGUGAAGUUGAGUAAGACUCAAUGCCCAACCACUGCAGAAGAUAGAGAGAAUAUGAAAGAUGUUCCCUAUGCAUCAGCCGUAGGAUCUAUCAUGUAUGCAAUGCUGUGUACCAGACCUGAUGUGUGCCUUGCUAUAAGUCUAGCAGGGAGGUACCAAAGUAAUCCAGGAGUGGAUCACUGGACAACGGUCAAGAACAUCCUGAAAUACUUGAAAAGGACUAAGGAUAUGCUUCUCGUAUAUGGAGGUGACAAAGAGAUCAUCGUAAAAGGUUACAUUGAUGCAAGCUUUGACACUGAUCCGGACGAUUCUAAAUCGCAAACCGGAUACGUGUUUACAUUAAACGAUGGGGCUGUAAGUUGGUGCAGUUCUAAACAAAGCGUUGUAGCGGGAUCUACAUGUGAAGCGGAGUACAUGGCUACUUCGGAAGCAGCAAAUGAAGGAGUCUGGAUGAAGGAGUUCAUAUCCGAUCUAGGUGUUAUACCUAGUGCAUCAGGUCCAAUGAAAAUCUUUUGUGACAAUACUGGUGCAAUUGCCUUGGCAAAGGAAUCCAGAUUUCACAAGAGAACCAAGCACAUCAAGAGACGCUUCAAUCCCAUCCGGGAUCUAGUCCAGGUGGGAGACAUAGAGAUUUGCAAGAUACAUACGGAUUUGAAUGUUGCAGACCCGUUGACUAAGCCUCUUCCACGAGCAAAACAUGAUCAGCACCAAGGCUCCAUGGGUGUGAGAAUCAUUACUGUGUAAUCUAGAUUAUUGACUCUAGUGCAAGUGGGAGACUGAAGGAAAUAUGCCCUAGAGGCAAUAAUAAAGUUAUUAUUUAUUUCCUUAUAUCAUGAUAAAUGUUUAUUAUUCAUGCUAAAAUUGUAUUAACCGGAAACAUAAUACAUGUGUGAAUACAUAGACAAACAAAGUAUCACUAGUAUGCCUCUACUUGACUAGCUCGUUAAUCAAAGAUGGUUAUGUUUCCUAACCAUGAACAAUGAGUUGUUAUUUGAUUAACGGGAUCACAUCAUUAAGUGAAUGAUCUGAUUGACAUGACCCAUUCCAUUAGCUUAGCACCCGAUCGUUUAGUAUGUUGCUAUUGCUUUCUUCAUGACUUAUACAUGUUCCUAUAACUAUGAGAUUAUGCAACUCCCGUUUACCGGAGGAACACUUUGGGUGCUACCAAACGUCACAACGUAACUGGGUGAUUAAAAAGGAGUACUACAGGUGUCUCCAAAGGUACAUGUUGGGUUGGCAUAUUUCGAGAUUACGUUUUGUCACUCCGAUUGUCGGAGAGGUAUCUCUGGGCCCUCUCGGUAAUGCACAUCACUUAAGCCUUGCAAGCAUUGCAACUAAUGAGUUAGUUGUGGGAUGAUGUAUUACAGAACGAGUAAAGAGACUUGACGGCAACGAGAUUGAACUAGGUAUUGGAAUACCGACGAUCGAAUCUCGGGCAAGUAACAUACCGAUGACAAAGGGAACGACGUAUGUUGUUAUGCGGUCUGACCAAUAAAGAUCUUCGUAGAAUAUGUAGGAGCCAAUAUGGGCAUCCAGGUCCCGCUAUUGGUUAUUGACCGGAGACGUGUCUCAGUCAUGUCUACAUUGUUCUCGAACCUGUAGGGUCCGCACGCUUAAGGUUACGAUGACAGUUAUAUUAUGAGUUUAUGCAUUUUGAUGUACCGAAGUUUGUUCGGAGUCCCGGAUGUGAUCACGGACAUGACGAGGAGUCUCGAAAUGGUCGAGACAUAAAGAUUUAUAUAUUGGAAGCCUAUGUUUGGAUAUCGGAAGUGUUCCGGGUGAAAUCGAGAUUUUACCGGAGUACCGGGAGGUUACCGGAACCCCCCGGGAGCUAGAUGGGCCAUAGUGGGCCUUAGUGAAAAAGAGAAGGGGCUGCCCAAAGUGGGCUGCGCCCCCCUCCCCUCCCUUGGUCCGAAUAGGACAACGAGAGGGGGCCGGCCACCCUCUCUCUCUUCCCCCCUCCGCGAAUCCUAUUCCAACUAGGAUUGGGGGGGGGGGAAUCCUACUCCCAGAGGGAGUAGGACUCUCCUGGCGCGCCUCUCCUAGGCCGGCCGCACCCCCCCUUUAGUCCUUUAUAUACGGAGGCAGGGGCACCCCAGAAACACACAAGUUGAUCCACGUGAUCUUUUCCUUAGCCGUGUGCGGCGCCCCCAGCCACCAUAGUCCUUGAUAAUAUUGUAGCGGAGUUUAGGCGAAGCCCUGCUGCAGUAGUACAACAAGAUCGUCACCACGCCGUCGUGCUUGCGGAACUCUUCCCCGACACUUUGCUGGAUCGGAGUCCGGGGAUCGUCAUCGAGCUGAACGUGUGCUAAAACUCGGAGGUGCUGUAGUUUCGGUGCUUGAUCGGUCGGGCCAUGAAGACGUAUGACUACAUCAACCAAACACUUCCGUUGUCGAUCUACUAGGUAUGUAGAUCACACUCCCCCCUCUCGUUGCUAUGCAUCACAUGAUCUUGCGUGUGCGUAGGAUUUUUUUUGAAAUUACUACGUUCCCCUGCAGAAAGAAGUAGAUACACCAACACAAUCAAUCAAUAAUGACGAUCAAGGUGAGGUCAUCAAUUCCAUAUAUGUUCUUAUGAAAUCCAAAUAAAUAUAUUAUACAAUAGAAAAUUGCAACACAGGUAAUAAUGAAGUCAUAUUUGAAGAGGACAUAAACGAGGAUGAAUACAUGUUCUCUGGUCAAGGUAUGCUUAAUAGAAUUUAAAUAUAUUUUAAUCAUUAUAUUGCUUCUGUACUAACUUUUGCUACAAACCAAACUAGAAUGGGACAGAGAAGUGGAAAUUGAAAUCAAAGAAGGCGAGGAAAUACACAACCCUAAUCCUUAUGAUUUCGUCUAUAGCAACAUACCCAAAAAAACACACGUGCUCAAAACGGAAGGAAAUUGCAGAUUCUGCCAUGCAAAAAAUUCAAGUAUGAAACUAAGGGAUUAUGCUGCAGAAAAGGACAGAUAAGACUAGCCAAUGCAGAUACACCACCUGAACUCAUAAGACUUUGGAUAAGCAACGACUCUGAUGCAAGACAUUUUCGGAACAAUAUAAGAUUUUUCAAUGGCCACUUCUCGUUUACUACUCUAUAUUGCCAUCUUGACAGAGACACAACCGACAUGCGAAAUUCUGGUGGUAUUUACACCUUUCGAGCACAUGGUCAGAUCUAUCACAGCAUACACUCAUUUGGUAAUAGUCGACCAGAUCCAAAGCAUGUGGAGCUAUACUUCUACGACAAUGAUCCAAGCUUAGAGCAUCGGUACUGCCGUUGCCGCGAGGAAAUGUACGAGCAAGACAAGCAUGUGAUCGGGAUAAUAACCAACAUCCUACGGGAUAACCCAUACUCUCAACAAUUUAGGAGUUUGGGACGAGCCCAAAACCUUGAGGACUACAGACUCGUCUUAAACCCGGACCAAAGAUUGGACCAGAGAACAUACAACGCGCCAAUAAAUUCGGAGGUAGCUGCAGUGUGGAUUGAAGGAAAUAAAAGAAGAGACACUUAUGACAGGAAUGUAAUACUACAUGGAAACUACAAUGAAAAAGAGCACAUUCGAUCAUAUUACGGGUGCUAUGAUCCGUUGUCGUACCCUCUAUUCUUUCCAAGAGCUGAGCUGGGUUGGCAUAGGAAAAUCCCAAAGAGGAAUACAAAAAAGGAAGAUAUUGGUGCUGAUAAUAUCAGUAAUGAUGAUGACCUAGGUAAAAUUUCAUAUACUAUUAUAUUCAAUAUUCAAUUUAACUAACUUUUUUAUGUCGCAAUAUUUGCACAGAUUCUGCCAACGGCCUGUGGGUAACCAUGAAAGAAUACUACUGGUAUAAAUUCCAUACACGACCAAGCAUAUUCAACCAAUAUUGCAGGGCGGACGGAUUUUCCAGCAGUUUGUUGUAGAUACAUACAUAAAGAUUGAAAGCUCCAGACUGGAUUACAUGUGGCAUCAUCAAAACAAAAUAAGGGCGGAUCUAUACCAAGGCCUUCUAGACAUCAUUCAAGCUAGAGAACAGAAUGGAGAUGCAAUCGGAAAACGGAGAGUACUUGCAUCAUCAUUUAUUGGAGGGCCACGCGAUAAAAUUCGUCCGUAUCUAGAUUCUAUGGCUUUAGUUAGAAAAUAUGGAAAACCAGACGUAUUACUCACAAUGACAUGCAACCCCAACUGGAAGGGAUCACACGUGAACUACAGUUUGGACAAACACCACAAGAUCGCCCAGACAUUAUCGUUUGUGUUUUCAAGGCGAAGCUCAAAGAAAUGAAGAAGCAACUAUUUGAGAAGGCCAUUCUUGGAAAGGUCAAGGCAUAUACAUAUGUCAUAGAGUUCCAAAAGAGGGGAUUACCCUGACGGUGUCCUGGACUAGGGGGUACUGUAACACCCCGGAUGUAACUUUCCCAAUUUGUACUCCAACUCUUGCCGUUUCCGGCGUUAACUUAUUUUAUUUUCUCGGGUUCGGGUCUUUGUCUCCGUGUGUUGUUGUCGUUGUCAUGCAUCUCAUAUCAUGUCAUCAUGUGCAUUUCAUUUGCAUACGUGCUCGUCUCAUGCAUUCGAGCAUUUUCCCCGUUGUCCGUUUUGCAUUCCGGCGCUUCAUUCUCCUCCGAUGGUCAUUUCUAGCUUUCUUUCGUGUGUGGGGAUUAAACAUUUCCGGAUUGGACCGAGACUUGCCAAGCUGCCUUGGUUUACUACCGGUAGACCGCCUGUCAAGUUUCGUAUCAUUUGGACUUCGUUUGAUACUCCAACGAUUAACCGAGUGACCGAAAAGGCCUCGUGUGUGUUGCAGCCCAACACCCCUCCAAUUUGGAACAAAACCCACCUAAACCCUUUCUAUCAUCUAGAGCGUUCGAUCACGAUCGCGUGGCUGAAAACUGCACCUCAUUUGAACUCUCCUAGCUCCCUCUAGGCCUAUAUAAAGGUCUCUCCCCGAAAAUCCGGGUCUUCCCCCGUCCUAACCCUAAAAAUUCCGUCUCUGCCGCCGCCGGACGUGUCCGGACGGAGCCGGACACCGUCCGACCCAGCCGCCACCGCCACGUGUCGCCCCGGGAUUCACCGCCNNNNNNNNNNNNNNNNNNNNNNNNNNNNNNNNNNNNNNNNNNNNNNNNNNNNNNNNNNNNNNNNNNNNNNNNNNNNNNNNNNNNNNNNNNNNNNNNNNNNNNNNNNNNNNNNNNNNNNNNNNNNNNNNNNNNNNNNNNNNNNNNNNNNNNNNNNNNNNNNNNNNNNNNNNNNNNNNNNNNNNNNNNNNNNNNNNNNNNNNNNNNNNNNNNNNNNNNNNNNNNNNNNNNNNNNNNNNNNNNNNNNNNNNNNNNNNNNNNNNNNNNNNNNNNNNNNNNNNNNNNNNNNNNNNNNNNNNNNNNNNNNNNNNNNNNNNNNNNNNNNNNNNNNNNNNNNNNNNNNNNNNNNNNNNNNNNNNNNNNNNNNNNNNNNNNNNNNNNNNNNNNNNNNNNNNNNNNNNNNNNNNNNNNNNNNNNNNNNNNNNNNNNNNNNNNNNNNNNNNNNNNNNNNNNNNNNNNNNNNNNNNNNNNNNNNNCUCCCCGACGCCGCGGCCGCGCCGCCCUUGCCUCCCCGACGCCGCGCCCGCCGUCCCGUGCUCCGGCGAGAGCAACACCGGCGAGCCCCUCGACCUCCUACGACCGGCGAGCCCGCCAAGACCGGCCACCACCUCCGACGAACCUCGAACAUUGCGCCCCAGUGAAUAGUACCCGGCGAGAUCUAGAUCCAGAUCCGGUUGAUUUUCUCCCGAAACCCUAGCUCAUGUGCCCAUGUUCGUCGUGCCGUAACUUUGCAUCCGCAGCUUCGAUUUAGGCAUAUAGCAUAUCAAAAUGUUCAUCUCAGAGAGUAUAUCAUUUCAUUCCAUUGCAUCAUUUUCAUUUGAGUUCAUCUUGAUGCCCGAAAUGCUGUUAGAAGAGGGCUAUUUGAGAUAAUUGUCAGAUCUGCUACUCCAUUUAGGUUUUUGUCAUUUUUGCCAUGAUUAAUGUGUGCUUGAUAUGCCCUGAUGUUCUACAUAUGUUUUGUUAAGGGUUUUAUCAUCUUUCCAGAGGUGCAACCCAUGUAUUUUUGUGAUGUGUGUGGUGACUAGCACAAGCUUGCAAAGUGGUGCACUUGGUAAUUUUGUUUUUAGGGACUUAGCAAUUCCACUAAGUCCUUGAUCUAUUUAUCUCAUGAUGCCAUAUGUUCAUGUUGUUUCCUAGUGAUCCGUGCCUCUUUUGAGGAUGAUCAGUAAGGAUGUUUUGUUAUUCUUGCAGUGCUCUAUCCAUCCAUGUCUUUAUUUGCAAUUAUGGAGCACGCUAGCUUGAGUCAAUCGAGCUCUACUUUUGGUACUUUGUGAAUCUGGGCAGAUUGUCAACUUGUUUGCAAUUUUGCCGAUGAUGUUGUAGUUGAUCCGUGCAUGCUAUGUUAUUGGUCUUACAUUGUCUAGCUUUCAUUUUGUGUAUUCUUGAUGGGUAUAUGCUUGUCUUGUCAUAACUUGCACCGUAGUGAGUGCAUCGAGCUCGUGAACAUGCCUACUUGAGUUAUAUUUCAGUAUGUGCCAGUUUUCACUAAGUCUGAAAACUGAUUAUGUUUUUGCUAUGUUCACAUGCUUGCAAUUGUAUUUUCCGAUCCCUUUUGGCUCAAGGUCACUAAGGGACUUUUGUUAAGCUCUUCGAGUAGCUCCAUGCCAUGCUUUACUUUGCCAUGUUCAGGUCCUGUAGCAUGUAGUUUUGUUGCUCCGAAGAGAGCUACCUGAUCUGAAAUUCCAGACAAGUGUUAAUUUCACUAAGUCUGAGAUCUGUUUGUCAUAUGCAUUUUUGCCAUGCUUGUUUGAACCUGUUAAUGGAUGAUUUGGCCGUAGCUCAGUGCUAGACUUUUGUUAAGCAUUUUGAAUGCAUCCCUGCCAUGUAUUUUGUGGUCAUGUUUGGGUGUUGUAGCAUGUUCAUCUCAUUGCAUUUAGGUGGCUACUUGUUGUAAAUCGCAGACCGGUGUCAUAUUUGAAUCGCUUGCCAUUUCCAAACCGUAACUCCGAUUCCGGCGAUCUUUAUAUCGUUUUCAAGCGAUUUCAUCUCAUCUUUCCAGUGGAAUACUUGGAUUUCCAAGUUGAUGCCAGGUUCUUGCAUUUCCUGUCAUAUCUUGCAUAUGCAUCCUGCAUCGCAUCCCGCAUAGCAUAUCAUCAUUGCAUCGUCUUGUUUGAUCCUUGCACGUGGUUGAUUGUGUCCUUGUUGCUUGUUUGUCUUGUUUGGGUAGAGCCGGGAGACGAGUUCGCUAACGAGGAGCCCGUUGAGUUUGCUUUCGAGGAUCCAGUCAACUCUGACAACUGUGCAGGCAAGAUGAUCAUACCCUCGAAAUCACUACUAUCUUUGCUAUGCUAGUUUGCUCGCUCUUUUGCUAUUCCAAUGCUACGAUGCCUACCUUUUUCUUUCAAGCCUCCCAAAUUGCCAUGUCAAACCUCUAACCCACCAUGUCCUAGCAAACCGUUGAUUGGCUAUGUUACCGCUUUGCUCAGCCCCUCUUAUAGUGUUGCUAGUUGCAGGUGAAGAUUGGAGGUCGUUCCUUGUUGGAACAUUUAUUUACUUGUUGGGAUAUCAUUAUAUUAUCUUGUUAUCUUAAUGCAUCUAUAUACUUGGUAAAGGGUGAAAGGCUCGGCCUCUCGCCUGGUGUUUUGUUCCACUCUUGCCGCCCUAGUUUCCGUCAUAUCGGUGUUAUGUUCCCGGAUUUUGCGUUCCUUACGCGGUUGGGUUAUAAUGGGAACCCCUUGAUAGUUCGCCUUGAUUAAAGCUUCUCCAGCAAUGCCCAACCUUGGUUUUACCAUUUGCCACCUAGCCUCUUUUCCCUUGGGUUUCCGGAGCCCGAAGGUCAUCUUAUUUUAAACCCCCCCGGGCCAGUGCUCCUUUGAGUGUUGGUCCAAACUAGAGUCCUGUGCAGCGCCCCCUCGGGGAUACUCGAGGUUUGGUUUUAGUUGUAUGGAGUGCUCAUCUGAUGUGCCCUGAGAAAGAGACAUGUGCAGCUCCUAUCGGGAUUUGUCGGCACAUUCGGGCGGUGUUGCUGGUCUUGUUUUAACCUGUCGAAGUGUCUUGAAGAACCGAGAUACCGAGUCUGAUCGGAACGUCUUGGGAGGAGGUCUAUUCCUUCGUUGACUAUGAGAGCUUGUCAUGGGCUAAGUUGGGACUCCCCUGCAGGGAUUUGAACUUUUGAAAGUCGUGCCCGCGGUUAUGGGCAGAUGGGAAUUUGUUAAUGUCUGGUUGUAGAUAACUUGAACCUUAAUUUAAUUAAAAUGAAUCAACUGAGUGUGUUACCGUGAUGGCCUCUUCUCGGCGGAGUCCGGGAAGUGGACACAGUGUUGGAGUAAUGUUUGCGCAGGUUGUUCUCUAGUUUCUCGCUCGCGCUUUGCCUCCUCUUCUCGCUCUCUUUUGCGAAUAAGUUAGCCACCAUAUUUGCUAGUCGCUUGCUGCAGCUCCUCAUAUAUUUACCUUGCCUUACCUAUAAGCUUAAAUAGUCUUGAUCGCGAGGGUGCGAGAUUGCCGAGUCCCUGUGGCUCACAGAUUACUAUUACACCAGAUGCAGGGCCUGAUGAUUCUGCUCCAGGUGACGCGCUUGAGCUCAAGUGGGAGUUCGACGAAGACUCUCAACAUUACUAUGUUUCCUUUCCUGAUGAUCAGUAGUGGUGCCCAGUUGGGGGUGAACGGGACCGUUGUCGCAUGUUGGGUUCUCUUUUAUUUUGGCGCCGUAGUCGGGCCAUGAGUGUUUGGAUGAUGUAAUGUUAUUUAUGUACUUGAUUGACGUGGCGAGUGUAAGCCAACUAUGUUAUCUCCCCUUUAUUAUUCAUAUUACAUGGGAUGUUGUGAAGAUUGCCUAACUUACGACAUAUGCCUUAAAUGCGUUUAUGUCUCUAAGUCGUGCCUCGAUACGUUGGAGCUAUAGUCGCAUCGAGGGUGUUACAGGUACUCACCACGUCAUCUCCCGACUAGUGGGUCAGGCCGAGGACCUUCAUGGUGGUUCACUAUUGGGCCAGUUCGGACAACCCAUGCCGUAUACAAGGGAGAUCCCACAAAGACUUGGCGCCCAAGACGAGGACUCUCCUAAACCCUAGGCCUCUGGUGUGUUAUAUAAACCGAGGCCAGGCUAGUCAAUAGACAUCUCAUAUUCAUUACUACAAUCUCGUGGUAGAUACUUGUAUUAUGUACUAUCCCCAUAUGAAUACAAUUAAAAGUUGGACGUAAGGUUUUAGCUUCAUCAAGAGGGCCCGAACCUGGGUAAAACCCCAUGCCUGUGUUACCAUCGCUCCAAGACGCCUAGCUUAGGACCCUUAGUACGGGAUACGCCGAAUAUAGAACCGACAUUGAUGCUUUCACUGAGAGCCUGCUAGGCGUCGUCACGGGUCGAUGGCAUAAACCAGGUGUUAUGAUUUUAAUUCAAUCUAUUCCGCGUAUAUCAGAUUUCUUUUUAUUGUUUGUGGUCUUGCACUAUGUUUGUUUACAUACCAGUUUUGACCUCGAACGCCGCCGGGCAAUCGGAAUAUGCGUCACGCAGCGGCCGCCCGGGCUCCUUGAAAAUCAGGCAGACGUGGUACAUCGCAGAAGGAAAAAUCAAGACAUAUCAAAAAGCUGCUCCGAGGAGAAGCGACGGCCUGGCACUAAUUGCCAGAUCAAUCUAAUCAUGGGGCAGCCCACUAGGACUACUAGUUGUGGCACAUCAAUCGUUUGAUUGAUGCAAUCGUGCUUGUCUAAUCUGACUAGCCCUCACACUGAAGCUCCAGAGCACUUUGAUGUAGUUUUUUUAUUUUCCCUAGCUUUAGCCGGAGUCAGAUGCAUCCAUAAAGGUCAACUAGCAGAUGAUCUUGCCUAACGUAUGCCGCGCUGGGUCCUGAGGAAUAAAUGCAUGGGUCGGGCAAACACAUGCAAAGGUGAAGACACUCCGGCCAUCCAGGCAUCUGACGACCGCCGUAUCUGUAACCGAAUCUGUCCUAUAAAAAAUAUGCCAUCACCCCUUCGUCUUCAUUGACCUAGGCGCCAGGCUAUGUUUCUUUUAUCUACUUUGUGUAAACUUAAUUAUGCAAAGAAUUUUUUUCAACUAUUAUUAUUUCUUUGUGCAUUAUUCUAUGUGUGCAGGUAAUCAACUUCGACUGCAUCAUGCGGUCAACUCUGUGGGCCGACAUCGUCGUCCUGCCUGCAUCGAUCAAGUUGCUCCGUCGCCUCAGUGCGCGUCCCUGUGUCAGCAUGUCCGCGGCCAUUCUAUCGGUACGACCUCGGCACAAUUGACAUACACUGCGCAUUACCUGGCGCAAUGACGCACAAGAGAAUUAGGCUUGGCGCAACCACAAGGAGAUUUGACUUUCUUUUUUCCAUUCCUCCUCUAUAUUAUUUAAUUAAGCAGGUAAUCGACUUCGACUACGUCACACGGUCACUUCAGCAAGCCGACGAUGUCGUCCCAAUCGGCAUAAAUCGGCUCGCGUGAUCACCUUGUCGGUCGAAUUGCCAUACCGACAUGUUCUGUUGCCUCAGGGACUUUGACAUCACUAAGAGAGCUCUACCUCAUUGAGUGUUCGGCGCACGGGUCAUAUUUCUUUUAUUACUCACUUUGCAUAAAUUAUUAAUCAUGCAACUUUUUUAUUAUUACUUCUGCCUUGCACUAUUUUAUGUGUGCAGAUAAUUGAUUUUUGCUGCGUCACGCAGUCACCUCGGCGUGCGGAGUCGUCCUCUCGCCUCUAUCAACCAAAUUCCACUAUUACCAUGGUGUGAUACCCUGUGUUGCCAUUAUCGCGUGGUCGCUUCAUCAAACUGACGUCCACCAUGCCGACCUGUUUUGACAUGUCGACUGACGUGGGGGCUUCAUUGUCACGCUGCCGAACUACUCUGUUUCCUCAGCUGGACCGGGGGCUUCCCCUCGGAACUUUGGCACCGUCAUGCUAUCACUUUGUCAAGCCGAGCUCUUCGCUCGGGUACGUCAAGACUAGUUUGGGGGUUGGGACCUUGAGCCAAGACAAGCUCGGCCCACGUCACACCGAGCACAUUAACCAGCUAAGUCGCUUUCAUGCUCAAAAAAAAUUAAGUUUUAAAUAUAUUUUUCGGGUCGACCAAGCAUUAUACUUUUUUGACAAAAAGUCAUUUGCGAAAAACUUUCUUUGUCAAAACCUUGUUUGUUACAAACAAAUUCAAAUAAAAUACCCCGUUUAUUUGGGGGAUUCUUUUAUGAAGCCUCUCCUCUUGAAUAUGAUUAUACUUGUAUGGCUUCAUUCCUUAUUAAUGUAUUACGACACAAUAUGCACCAUGUUGACUUAUGUGUUCCGCAAGCUGGGUUGCCUUGCUCCUGUGUUUACCCCUACGUUCCCAAUUGUUCGGCUAGGGAGUAAAGGGAGCACCUCUACGAUUGUCACGAUCGGGUCAUCCGAGCUCGGACCUCAGACUGGGUGAAGUCGAAAGCUAGUGCUCUUAUUGUUUUCAAUCAUGUUCGGCACACAACUGAACUCAUGAAUACAAAAAAUCUAUUGCACAAGUCUCAUAGUAACAAUGAGCAACCGAAGAAAGGUACCAAUGGAGGUACUAUUUUCUUCGAAGAUGCUUCUUACACUUCAUCAGUAAUAUAGCAUAAGUUCCCUGAGCGCGCUUUGUCUAUUAUAGCCUUAUGGCCUGAUUGCCUGGUUAUCGGAAACACCGUCGAUAUUCUCGACAGGUGGAGUACAUAACACUUUUCGGCCCUUGUCCGAAGAGGGAGAAGCCGAUGGUCGGUUAAGACGCGUUUAAAGUUCGGAUGAACACAUAUAUGAUAUAAGUACUUCGGUACAUACAAUCAUUAUACAUAAAAUUCUUUUACCCAAAUCACUUGGGGGCUCUUAAAUUAAUAUGAGUAGUUUUGUAAUAGAUGUUUUCUUUUUAGUCAUUGCAAAAUCUUUUUCUACCACUCCUUUAUCGACUCAACUGUAUGAUCAAUAGCCGGGUAGCCUGGUUUCUCUCUAAAGCCGCUCGCGUUUAGUUCGCUAAACUGGCCUGAGAAACACUCCGCCUUCGGGAUAGGGAGGUUGAAGCCGAGGGCUGACCCACUUGAAGUCUAGAGAUCAGAUGUGUCAUGUCAAAGCAUGACGGAAGUACAAUUUUAAGACCAAUUUCUUAUUGGCACCAAAACAGCUUGAUUCAAUCUAGACGCAAAGUUUUUUACGCAUGUUUUUGGCCUUUGGGCUUAUAACAUCUUUUUACCUAUUUUAUGUUUUCCUUUCAGGAAGCAGGACAUUCUCUUGGUUGAGGUUUUUGGCAUGAAACUCUUUUCUAAAACUACAGUUCGACAUCUUUUCUGCCGAACCCCACCUCGGUAUUGUCAAAACAUACAUGACAGUUGAACUAGUUCCCGAGGAGGUACGAUCCUAGGGUCGGCCAUGUAGCCCAACCCAAUUCUAGGGGGGGGCUACUGCAUUGGCAAUCCAAUGCAGAAAAUUUAAGUGCAAUAUAGUUUUCGAGGAGAUUAUGAUCCUCGGGUUGGUCGGCCGCACCCAACCUGAGUCUCAAGGACUUUGCACACUGCUUUUUGUGUCCCGAAGUAUUUUGCCGAGCUAAGAGUUGAUCCUCAGGCCGAUUUUGCGAAUCAACCUGAGUCUCAGGGGCUACUGGGAUCAGCGGUCUUAUGUCAUCCUUUAGGUGCAUCUCGGGUUUUAGACCGAUACACACCUUGAGGGCUACUGGCUAUAUAUCUCGGCAGAGAAUAAAUUGCACCAAUCAAAAAUAUUGACAAAAAAUCGGCCCGCAGUCGGGGUGGUGCACCACCUCGGAAGCAGUCCGGCAUAAAGCUCGGGCGCUAGUGGCUGGCUCCAUAAAGGGCAUUUCCGGCAUUAAGCUCGGCUAAACUCCUUCAACUUUUUUUGAACCAAGGUGAUCUAUGGCACAUCGGACACAGUCCAGUGUUGGAGCUUGGACACAGUCCGACAUUGGAGCUUGGACACAGUCCGACGUUGGAGCUCAGAUAAAGCCCGGCGUUGGAGCUUGGACAUAGUCCAGCGUUGGAGCUCGGGUACAUUCCGACGUUAGUGCUCGGCUGCAAAAGAUACCUCGAAUGUAGUUCGGCGUUGGAGCUCGGACGCUGCCGCCCGGGAACAACUUCAAACCCAAGGUGUGGCAUAAAAAUAAAAAGGCAUUGAUAAAGGCCGCAAACUUAAAGGGGCUCCUUGGAUACCCGACGUGUAAACUCUUCGGAUGCACUUCAGUGAUGCUCAAGAUCGAAGAUGAUAAGAUUUGUUGAACUAGUUUUCAAGACCAACGACCAAAGAUGAAGAACAGUUUGGAAGAAUCGAGGAGCGUCCCCAACUUGAAGACCGGUUCAGGGGGCUACUGACGGUGUCCUAGACUAGGGGGGUACUCACCACGUCGUCUCCCGACCAGUGGGUCGGGCCGAGGACCCCCAUGGCGGUUCACUAUUGGGCCAGUUCGGACAGCCCAUGCCGUAUACAAGGGAGAUCCCACAAAGACUUGGCGCUCAAGACGAGGACUCUCCUAAACCCCAGGCCUCUGGUGUGUUAUAUAAACCGAGGCUAGGCUAAUCAAUAGACAUCUCAUAUUCAUUACUACAAUCUUGUGGUAGUUACUUGUAUUAUGUACUAUCCCCAUAUGAAUACAAUCAAAAGAAGGAUGUAGGGUUUUACCUCCAUCAAGAGGGCCCGAACCUGGGUAAAACCCCAUGUCCGUGUUACCAUCGCUCCAAGACGCCUAGCUUAGGACCCCUACUACGAGAUAUGCCGGAUAUAGAAUCGACAUAGCCCAUGCUCACUUUUUGCUCAUCAUGACUAGAAAAUACAAAUACACAUGUCCAGAACAGUAUGACCGAAUCAUCUCCGCUGAGCUCCCUAACAAGCACAAGUACCCAGAGUUAUACAAAAUGGUAAUCAAACAUAUUGUGCAUGGUCCUUGCGGUGCAUUGAAUAAAUUUUUUCCAUGCAUAAAGAAUCGUCCGUCAUGCAAGAACAAUUAUCCAAGGCCAUUUAAUGAAACUACAAUCCAAGGAAAGGACUCCUGCCCACUGUAUAGGAGACGCAAUGAUGGUCGGACUGAAACGGUAUGAAAAUGCCAACUGGAUAAUAGGUGGGUGGUUCCUUACAACCCAUAUCUUUUGCGGAUGUUCAACUGCCACAUAAAUGUUGAGAUAUGCUCGAGCAUUAAAGCCGUUAAGUACUUGUUCAAAUACAUCUAUAAGGGACAUGACCGAGCAUCUGUAUUUGUAAUUGACAAAGUGGACGAAGUCGAAAUUGACGAGAUUAAACAGUAUAGAGAUGCGCGGUGGGUGACACCUCCGGAAGCACUAUGGAGAAUAUAUGGCUUCAAAUUAAGCAAAAUACACCCACCAGUCUUGCAACUGCAGCUACAUCUUCCAAAUAUGCACAUGGUUUCAUACCAUGGCAUGGAAAAAAUAAAGAAUAUUAUCGACCGUGAUGGCACAUAAAGAUCAAUGUUGACUGCGUACUUUGAAGCAAACAACUUACAUGAGAAAGCACGAGGCAUACUAUACAGAGACUUUCCGGAAUAUUAUACUUGGCAAAGACAAGGGAAGUUUUGGCAGGAGAGGAAACGAGAUGCUGUGUUCCAGGUUGGCAGGAUGGUCUCGGCACACCCGGCUGAAGGAGAACAAUAUUAUCUUCGAGUACUCACGUUCCAGGCGCCACCAGCUAUGAAGACCUACGAAUAGUCAACAGACAAGUAAUGCCAACCUUCCAUGAAGCUGCAGAAAAACGGGGGCUCAUCGAGGCAGACAACACACUAGAUGACUGCAUGACAGAAGCAGAGUUGUUUCGAAUGCCAUCAUCACUACGAAGGCUAUUCGUGACAAUCUUGGUUUUUUUGCGAACCUAGUGACGUACAUGGCCUAUGGAACAAACACCUUGAUGCAAUGUCAGAAGACUACAACAGAAACUACAAAUGCAAGCACACAAUCGAACAGAUGGUGCUGAGAAAUAUCAGAGACAUGUUGCACUCAAUGGGAAAAGACAUAGAAUCAUUUCCUCUUCCAGAGAUCGACAAACAACAUGAGACGACUGACGACAUACCUAGGGAGAUCGUUGCAGAGACCUCCAUCGAGGUUGACCCUGAGGACAUAUCGUUGCAUAAAAACCUAAACAUCGAGCAGAGGAAGGCCUACGACGAAAUCCUAGCCACGGUUGACCGCCAAAGAGGAGGUAUAUUCUUUGUCGAUGGGCCGGGAGGCACAGGAAAAACUUUUCUUUAUAGGGCGCUCUUGGCCACACAAGGCAAGAUUGCCGUGGCAACGACCACUUCCGGUGUUGCUGCUUCCAUAAUGCCUAGAGGGAGGACCGCACACUCGAGGUUCAAGAUUCCACUAAAAAUAGAUGAUGGAGCUAUUUGUAGCUUCACAAAACAGAGUGGGACAGCAAAGCUACUCCAAGCAGCAUCACUAAUAAUCUGGGAUGAAGCAUCUAUGACAAAGAGACAGACAGUGGAGGCGCUAGACAAAAGCAUGCGGGACAUAAUGGAUAGACUAGAUCUUCCAUUUGGUGGAAAAACGAUCGUAUUUGGGGGAGAUUUUAGACAAGUGCUACCUAUUGUCUGAAAGGGAACAAGAGCCCAGAUAGUAGAUGCAUCACUACGCAGGUCGGAGCUCUGGAAUUACAUGCGUCAAUUGAAGCUUGUGCACAACAUGAGGGCUCAAACGACCCAUGGUUCGUAGAAUACCCACUACGCAUUGGAAACGGAACCGAGAAGACAAAUGAUGAUGGUGAAAUACUUCUACCUACAAGUAUAUGUGUGCCAAAUAAGACGGAUGAUACCGGCCUGGAUAGACUUAUUGACAGUAUCUACCAAACGGGAAAUGUUUACCUAAAAGAUCGAAAGUACAUCACAUCAAGAGCAAUUUUAUCCACAAGGAAUGACUGCGUAGACAAGAUCAACCUAAAUAUGAUUGAUCGCUUCCAGGGGGAGGAGAUGGUGUACCACAGCUUCGAUUCUGUAGAAGAGACCCACAUAACUACUAUCCAUCAUAAUUCCUAAACACCCUAACCCCAAAUGGACUGCCUCCACAUAUGCUGAAGCUAAAAAAAAUUGUCCAAUGAUACUACUCAGGAACAUCGACCCUGCUAAUGGGCUCUGCAACGGCACCAGACUGGUCGUACAUGGAUUUCAGAAAAAUGCAAUUGAUGCAGAGAUUGUGGUAGGCAACACUCUGGAAUGCGAGUUUUCUUGCCUCGGAUACCAUUAUGCCCAUCUGACGAUGACAUGUUCCCGUUCAGUUUCAAGAGAAAACAGUUUCCUGUCAGACUCAGUUUUGCAAUGACAAUAAACAAAUCACAAGGCCAGACAAUACCAACUGUCGUUGUCUACGUGCCUGAGCUUGUUUUCUCACAUGGUCAAUUAUAUGUCACGCUUUCUAGAGCAACCGCGACAUCGGACAUAAAGGUACUAACAUGUACACAUGAUGUGAACAAGGGGACAAAUAAAAAAUAAAUAAAGGUGACACAUACACAAAGGAGAAGAAGAAAAGGAAGAAUAGGAUCAGUACAAGCAAUACAUACACAAAGAAUAUUGUCUACACAGAAGUCUUGACCAAAUAGGUAAUGCAAUUUUUCAAUUUUGUGUUUAUAAAUUCAGUUUCAACUUAGUACAUUCAUUCAUGACCAACUUAAUAAUUUGUAUUACACAUUGAAUCUCUAAUUUUCUAACCUUAAAAUUACUUCUUGCAUUCUUCAGGACAAUCAAGCUGUCAACUUCGGAGUUAGAAUUCAGAACUACUUGAUCGUCUUGAAGGAGGAUGUCUUCAUGUUCUGAACCACUAACUUAUUCAUUGAUAUUUAUUUAUAUAAUAUGUCCAAUAAAUUAUUAAGUUUUAUUCAAAUAUUUGAUCACUUUGAUGAUCUCUAUUAUGGUUAUACAAUCUAUAUAUGUAAAUUUACCAACGAUGAGUAGCUAAGGUCAAAUUGAGACUUACCAGUCAAUAUAGAGACAUAUUUCUUGCCUUGGAGCUGAUGUUGUUGCAUUGAUUUUUCUAAACAUCGCUUUAUCUAAGUCCAAGAAACCUGAAAAAUAUCUGACACAUUGUAAGAAAAUACAUAUCAAUUUCACAUUGUAAGAAAAUAUCUGACAAUUUCAUAAUGGAUUGAAACCCUGCAUAGUGUAGCGUUGCAUAUUUUUGAGGAAAUUGUGAUGCUCUGUUUCAUCAGGAUUAAGAUGCUUGAACAUGUAAGCAGUGUACUAGCGGCCAAUAGAGAUAUUUCUCAUGCUGACUACGUGCUAUCAAUUGUGCCAUACACAUUAUUUAGUAACUAAUCAAAAAGUGUCAAAAGCUAGCCACCAAAGCAAAUCUGAAUCUGCUACUAUGCUACUACUGCCACAACUAACCGAGGUUGGAGCAUAGGGAAUAAGCUGCUCCUCCACCAAUCGCAUAUAGGGGGUGACGGGGUGGGACUGAAGGAGAUUGGGAGAUCCGGAGAGGAAGUAAAGAGAGAAGAAGGGAAAUGGCACGCAUUACCUUUACAAUAUUGGAGGCAACGUCACGGAAGCAGGCGGAGGCGGAGGGCAGCCAGGCGGGGCGGAGAAUGAAGAGGCAAGCGGCGGCUGUCGGGACGCACGCCGGGAUGGCAACAAGGUGGCGGUGCACAUGCGAGGUCGGCCAGGAGGACGAGCAAUGCAAACAUCUGGAAGGAGGAAGCCGACGCUAUUCUCCAUCGAGAAACGAAGGCUGCAGUACCACACCCCAGCGACGGCGAGCCCCAUUGGUGGACGGCGGCUGCGGGAUAGCCCUAGACGAGUCUGCUGCGUGUGUUUUUUUAGGGGUAUGCUGCAUGUGGUGCUGUGGAAGUGAGGAGGUGCAAGAGGAAGUGCUCGUGGGCUGGAAUGGCCAGAUGGAUUCAGUUUGGCCUUUUCAUUUUCUCCACUCACUAUUGAAACAUCCCGGGCAGACCAAAGUGGGCCUACCAAAUGUACAUAUGACAUCGAGCCAUUGUUUUCUUCGUUUUCCAAAAAGAAGUAAUUCCCUGGACACGGAUAUUUGACUCUAGGAGCAUAUUCUCUGUAAUGAACAGGAAAAUCAAAAUAAAAUUUUAAAAUCCUAAAUUUUUACUACAUGUUCAUAUUAGUGUAGCAAGCGUGCUUGACAAUUUUCAUGCCAUAUGGGAUAAUAGUGCUUCGUCGGUGAAAAAAAUAAAAUUAAGUGUAACAUUUGGCGUUUGACUUUUUUUCCCCACAAGUCAACAUGCUUAAGUUUUCCCCUGUAAGUUUGCAUGUACCAUUUGGGUGUGACAAUGAACCUGUCUAUUUUUUCAUAUUUUUUUAUAUUUGUAAAUUUUCGUUUUUGGCACGCUAGAUCAUGUGCUAACUAGAGCCAGAAUGAAUUUUCGGAAUUCCCCACCUACUUAUCCUCAUGGGAUGAAAGUGCAGAGCCAAAAAACAUACUAACAAACGAUGUUAGGGAGACUUUUACUGAAAAGUGAUAGUUGAGGACCCAUGUUCACUGAAGUUGGUCAAAAUUGAAUAUAAUAAGUGUUGAAAAGGACCGAGUACUAUUAAAUUUAUCGCCCGUUGCAACGCAUGGGCAUUUGUACUAGUUGGUUCCUACAUAUUCUACGAAGAUCUUUAUUGUUUAAACCGCAUAACAACAUACGUUGUUCCCUUUGUCAUCGAUAUGUUACUUGCCCGAUAUUCGAUUGUCGGUAUCAUCAUACCUAGUUCAGUCUCGUCACCGGCAAGUCUUUUUACUCGUUCUGUAAUGCAUCAUCCCGUGACUAAUUCACUAGUCACAUUGCUUGCAAGGCUCAUAGUGAUGUGCAUUACCGAGAGGGCUCAGAGAUACCUCUUCGAUACACGGAGUGAAAAAUCCUAAUCUCGAUUUAUGCCAACUCAACAAACACCAUUGGAGACACUUGUAGAGCAUCUUUAUAAUCACCCAGUUAGGUUGUGAUGUUUGAUAGCACACUAAGUGUUCCUCCAGUAUCCAGAGUUGCAUAGUCUCAUAGUCAUAGGAACAUGUAUAAGUUAUAGAGAAAGCAAUAGCAAUAAACUAAAUGAUCAAAGUGCUAAGCUAAUGGAUGGGUCAUGUCAAUCGCAUCAUUCUCUAAUGAUGUGAUCCCGUUCAUUAAAUGACAACUCAUGUCUAUGGCUAGGAAACUUAACCAUCUUUGAUUAAUGGGCUAGUCAAGUAGAGGCAUACUAGUGACACUCUGUUUGUCUAUGUAUUUACACAUGUACUAAGUUUCUGGUUAAUUCUAGCAUGAAUAAUAAACAUUUAUCAUGACAUAAGGAAAUAUAAAUAGCAACUUUAUUAUUGCCUUUAGGGCAUAUUUCCUUUAGUCUCCCACUUGCACUAGAGUCAAUAAUCUAGAUUACAUUGUAAUGAUUCUAACACCCAUGGAGUCUUGGUGCUGAUCAUGUUUUGCUAAUGAGAGAGGCUUAGUCAGUGGGUCUGCAACAUUCAGAUCCAUAUGUAUCUUGCAAAUUUCUAUGUCUCCCUCCUUGACUUGAUCGCGGAUGGAAUUGAAGCGUCUCUUGAUGUGCUUGGUUCUCUUGUGAAAUCUGGAUUCCUUUGCCAAAGAAAUUGCACCAGUAUUGUCACAAAAGAUUUUCAUUAGACCCGAUGCACUAGGUAUAACACCUACAUCGGAUAUGAACUCCUUCAUUUGCUGCUUCCGAAGCAGCUAUGUACUCCGCUCCACACGUAGACCCCACCACGACGCUCUGCUUGGAACUGCACCAACUGACAGCUCGACCAUUCAAUACAAAUACGUAUCCGGUUUGUGACUUAGAGUCAUCCGGAUCAGUGUCAAAGCUUGCAUCGAUGUAACCGUUUACGAUGAGGUCUUUGUCACCUCCAUAAACAAGAAACAUAUCCUUAGUCCUUUUCAGGUAUUUAGGAUAUUCUUGACCGCUGUCCAGUGAUCCACUAAUGGAUUACUUUAGUACCUCCCUGCUAAAGUAAUAUCAAGGCACACAUCAGGUCUGGUACACAGCAUUGCAUACAUGAUAGAACCUAUGGCCGAAGCAUAGGGAAUGACUUUAAUUUUCUCUCUAUCUUCUGCAAUGGUCGGGCAUUGAGUCUGACUCAACUUCACACCUUGUAACACAGGUAAGAACCCUUUCUUUGCUUGAUCCAUUUUGAACUUCUUCAAAACUUUAUCAAGGUAUGUGCUUUGUGAAAGUCCAAUUAAGCGUCUUGAUCUAUCUCUAUAGAUCUUGAUGCCCAAUAUAUAAGAAGCUUCACUGAGGUCUUUCAUUGAAAAAUUCUUAUUCAAGUAUCCUUUUAUGCUAUUCAGAAAUUCAAUAUCAUUUCCAAUCAACAAUAUGUCAUCCACAUAUAAUAUCAGAAAUGCUACAGAGCUCCCACUCACUUUUUUGUAAAUACAGGCUUCUCCAAAAGUCUGUAUAAAACCAUAUGCUUUGAUCACACUAUCAAAGCGUAGAUUCCAACUCUGAGAUGCUUGCACCAGUCCAUAAAUGGAUCGUUGGAGCUUACGCACUUUGUUAGCACCUUUUGGAUCGACAAAACCUUUUGGUUGCAUCAUAUACACCUCUUCUUUAAGAUAUCCAUUAAGGAAUGCAGUUUUGACAUCCAUUUGCCAAAUUUCAUAAUUAUAAAAUGCGGCAAUUGCUAACAUGAUUCUGACGGACUUAAGCAUUGCUACGGGUGAGAAGGUCUCAUCCUAGUCAACUCCUUGAACUUUUUGAAAACCCUUUGCAACAAGUCGAGCUUUGUAGACAGUAAUAUUACCGUCAGCGUUAGUCUUCUUCUUAAAGAUCUAUUUAUUCUCUAUGGCUUGCCAAUCAUCAGGAAAGUCAACCGAAGUCCAUACUUUGUUCUCAUACAUGGAUCCCAUCUCAGAUUUCAUGGCCUCAAGCCAUUUCAUGGAAUCUGGGCUCAUCAUCGCUUCCACAUAGUUUGAAGGUUUGUCAUGGUCAAGUAACAUGACCUCCAAAAUAGGAUUACCAUACCACUCUGGUGCGGAUCUUACUCUGGUUGACCUACGAGGUUCGGUAGUAACUUGAUCAGAAGUUUCAUGAUCAUCAUCAUUAGCUUCCUCACUAAUUGGUGUAGGAAUCACUAGAACUGAUUUCUGUGACAAACUACUUUCUAAUAAGGGAGCAGGUACAAUUACCUCAUCAAGUUCUACUUUCCUCCCUCUCACUUAUUUUGAAAAAACUCCUUCUCUAGAAAGGAUCCAUUCUUAGCAACGAUUUUUUUUGCCUUCGAAUCUGUGAUAGAAGGUGUAACCAACAGUCUCCUUUGGGUAUCCUAUGAAGACACAUUUCUCCGAUUUGGGUCCGAGCUUAUCAGGUUGAAACUUUUUCACAUAAGCAUUGCAGCCCCAAACUUUAAGAAAUGACAACUUGGGUUUCUUGCCAAACCACAGUUCAUAUGGUGUCAUCUCAACGAAUUUAGAUGGUGAUCUAUUUAAUGUGAAUGCAGUCGUCUCUAAAGCAUAACCCCAAAACAAUAGCGGUAAAUCAGUAGGAGACAUCAUAGAUCGCACCAUAUCUAAUAAAGUGCGGUUACGAUGUUCGGACACACCAUUACGUUGUGGUGUUCCAGAUGGCGUGAGUUGCGAAACUAUUCUGCAUUGUUUCAAAUGAAGACCAAACUCAUAACUCAAAUAUUCACCUCCACGAUCACACCGUAGAAACUUAAUUUUCUUGUUAUAAUGAUUUUCCACUUCACUCUGAAAUUCUUUGAACUUUUCAAACGUUUCAGACUUAUGUUUCAUCAAGUAGACAUACCCAUAUCUACUCAAAUCAUCUAUGAAGGUCAGAAAAUAACGAUACCCUCCGCGAGCAUCAACACUCAUCGAACUGCAUACAUCAGUAUGUAUUAUUUCCAACAAGUCUAUUGCUCUCUCCAUUGUUCCGGAGAAUGGAGUCCUAGUCAUCUUGCCCAUGAGGCAUGGUUCGCAAGCAUCAAGUGAUUCCAAAAGCCCAUCAGCAUGGAGUUUCUUCAUGCGCUUUACACCAAUAUGACCUAAACGACAGUGCCAUAAAUAAGUUGCACUAUCAUUAUUAAACUUAUAUCUUUUGGCUUCAAUACUAUGAAUAUGUGUAUCACUACUAUCAUGAUUUAGUAAAAAUAGACCACUCAUUAAGGGUGCAUGACCAUAAAAGAUAUUACUCAUAUAAAUAGAACAACCAUUAUUCUCUGAUUUAAAUGAACACCUGUCUCGCAUUAAACAAGAUCCAGAUAUAAUGUUCAUGCUUAAUGCUGGCACCAAAUAACAAUUAUUUAGGUCUAAAACUAAUCCCAAAGGUAGAUGUAGAGGUAGCGUGCCGACGACGAUCACAUCGACUUUGGAAGCAUUUGCCACGCGCAUCGUCACCUCGUCCUUAGCCAAUCUUCGCUUAAUCUAUAGCCCCUGUUUUGAGUUGCAAAUAUUAGCAACAGAACCAGUAUCAAAUACCUAGGUGCUACUGCGAGCAUUAGUAAGGUACACAUUAAUAACAUGUAUAUCAAAUAUACCUUUCACUUUGCCAUCCUUCUUAUCCGCCAAAUACUUGGGGCAGUUCCACUUCUAGUGACCAGUCCCUUUGCAGUAGAAGCACUCAGUCUCUGGCUUAGGUCCAGACUUGGGCUUCUUCACUUGAGCAGCAACUUGUUUGCCGUUCUUACUGAAGUUCCCCUUCUUCCCUUUUCCCUUCUUCUUGAAACUGGUGGUCUUGUUGACCAUCAACACUUGAUGCUCCUUCUUGAUUUCUACCUCCACAGCCUUUAGCAUCGCGAAGAGCUCGGGAAUUGUCUUAUCCAUCCCUUGCAUAUUAUAGUUCAUCACAAAGCUUUUGUAGGUUGGUGGCAGUGAUUGAAGAACUCUGUCAAUGACACUAUCAACCAGAAGAUUAACUCCCAGCUGAGUCAAGUGAUUGUGAUACCCAGACAUUCCGAGUAUGUGUUCACUGACAGAACUAUUCUCCUCCAUUUUGCAGCUGUAGAACUUAUUGGAGACUUCAUAUCUCUCAAUCUGGGCAUUUUCUUGAAAUAUUUACUUCAACUCCUGGAACAUCUCAUAUGCUCCAUGAUGUUUAAGACGUCGUUGAAGUCCCGGUUCUAAGCCGUAAAGCAUGGCACACUGAACUAUCGAGUAGUCACCAGCUUUGCUCUGCCAGGUGUUCAUAACAUUUGGAGUUGCUCCUGCAGCGGGUUUGGCACCUAGCGGUACUUCCAGGACGUAAUUCUUCUGUGCAGCAAUGAGGAUAAUCCUCAAGUUACGGUCCCAAUUCAUGUAGUUGCUACCAUCAUCUUUCAACUUAGCUUUCUCUGGGAACACAUUAAAAUUCAACGGAACGACAACACAUGCCAUUUAUCUAUAAUAACAUAGACAUGCAAAAUACUAUCAGGUACUAAGUUCAUGAUAAAUUAAAGUUCAAUUAAUCAUAUUACUUAAGAAGUCCCACUUAGAUAGACAUCCCUCUAAUCAUCUAAGUGAUCACGUGAUCCAUAUCAACUAAACCAUGUCCGAUCAUCACAUGAGAUGGAGUAGUUUUCAAUGGUGGACAUCACUAUGUUGAUCAUAUCUACUGUCAGUGGUGCGCGUUGGUGCUAAACAAACGAGUUUUUACCCCUUUCCGCAACGGCAUUUAGAACCGCCGCCAAGUGAGUGUAUGUGAUAGGGUGUACUUCCCACACGAUCCAGAAAACGCCGGGGAUGGUGAUACGUCUCCAACGUAUCUAUAAUUUUUGAUUGCUCCAUGCUAUAUUAUCUACUGUUUUGGACUAUAUUGGGCUUUAUUUUCCACUUUUAUAUUAUUUUUGGGACUAACCUAGUAACCGGAGGCCCAUCCCAGAAUUGCUGUUUUUUCCUAUUUCAGUGUUUCGGAGAAACAGAAUAUCAAACGGAGUCCAAAUGGAAUGAAACCUUCGGAAACGUGAUUUUUUCAUCAGAUAAUAUCCAUGAGAUUUGGACCCUUCGUCAAGAAAGCCACGAGGCGGUCACGAGGGUGGAGGGCGCGCCCCCCUGCCUCGUGGGCCCCUCGAAGCUCCACCCACGUACUCCUUCCUCCUAUAUAUACCUACGUACCCCAAACGAUCGGGGACGGAGCCAAAAACCUAAUUCCACCGCCGCAACUUUCUGUAUCCACGAGAUCCCAUCUUGGGGCCUGUUCUGGAGCUCCGCCGGAGGGGGCAUCGAUCGCGGAGGACUUCUACAUCAUCAUCCAAGCCCCUCCGUUGAAGUGUGAGUAGUUUACUUCAGACCUACGGGUCCAUAGUUAGUAGCUAGAUGGCUUCUUCUCUCUUUCUGGAUCUCAAUACAAUGUUCUGCCCCUCUCUUGUGGAAAUCUAUUCGAUGUAAUCUUCUUUUUGCGGUGUGUUUGUUGAGACCGAUGAAUUGUGGGUUUAUGAUCCAGUCUAUCUAUGAAUAAUAUUUGAAUCUUCUCUGAAUUCUUUUAUGUAUAAUUGGUUAUCUUUGCAAGUCUCUUCAAAUUAUCAGUCUGGUUUGGGCUACUAGAUUGGUUUUUCUUGCCAUGGGAGAAGUGCUUAGCUUUGGGUUCGAUCUUGCGGUGUCCUUUCCUAGUCACAGAAGGGGCAGCAAGGCACGUAUUGUAUCGUUUCCAUCGAGGAUAACAAGAUGGUUUUUUUUAUCAUAUUGCAUGAAACUAUCCCUCUACAUCAUGUCAUCUUGCUUAAGGCGUUACUCUGUUUUUAACUUAAUAGUCUAGAUGCAUGCUGGAUAGCGGUCGAUGAGUGGAGUAAUAGUAGUAUAUGCAGACAGGUGUCGGUCUACUUGUCUCGGACGUGAUGCCUAUAUACAUGAUCAUACCUAGAUAUUCUCAUAACUAUGCUCAAUUCUGUCAAUUGCUCAACAGUAAUUUGUUCACCCACCGUAGAAUACUUAUGCUCUUGAGAGAAGCCACUAGUGAAACCUAUGGCCCCUGGGUCUCUUUCUCAUCAUAUCAAUCUCCAUCACUUUGUUAUUGCUUUGCUUUUACUUUUUACUUUGCAUCUCUAUACCAAAAAUACCAAAAAUAUUAUUUAUCAUCUCUAUCAGAUCUCACUUUUGUAAGUGACCGUGAAGGGAUUGACAACCCCUAAGCGCGUUGGUUGUGUUGAGCUAUUGUUUUUGUGUAGGUACGAGGGACUCGCGCGUAGCCUCCUACUCGAUUGAUACAUUGGUUCUCAAAAACUGAGGGAAAUACUUACGCUACUUUGCUGCAUCAUCCUCUCCUCUUCGGGGAAAUCCAACGUAGUGCUCAAGAGGUAGCAAGAAGAAUUUCUGGCGUUGUUGCCGGGGAUUCUGCGCAAAAGUCAACAUACCAAGUACCCAUCACAAUCCCUAUCUCCCGCAUUACAUUAUUUGCCAUUUGCCUCUCGUUUUCCUCUCCCCCACUUCACCCUUGCCAUUUUAUUCGCCCUCUCUCUCUAUCCUCCCUCUCUAUUUGCCUCUUUUUGCCCGUUUACUUUUUGUUUGCUUGUGUAUUAGUUUGCUAGCUUGUCGUUAUGUCAAGUCCUUUAUCUUCUGCCUCUAGGUCUGAAAUUGGGGAAAUUAUUGUCGAUAUGGAUAGUAAUAAUAUCAUGAAAAAUUCUGAUGGUCCUGCUAAAGAACCUACCAUCUUUCAUACAAAAAAAUCCGUGUUGGUAGUGAUAAUAUUAUUGGAAAAGGAGUUAUUCAAGAUUUCUUUACUUGUGCCGGUGCUUUACCUUCUAUGGGUAGUUCUAUCCUUCACAGAACUAGUAUUCUUGCGGACGCUAUUGCCAUGCUUGUAGUUGAACUUGAAAGACAAUUCAUGCACAUGCAUCCUUCCAUACAAAGGAUUUUUCUGGAAUUUUCUAAUAUUGAGUAUUCUUCUGUUAAGCGUGCCGCUACUAUCUUUUUGGCUCAUGAGUUUAGAUUCAUAAUAAAAGAAGCCAAAGAAAUCUUUGCGCAUUAUAGGGUGGACGCUUGUCGUCCUCCCAUAGAGGCUAUCCUCUUUGAUCAAGAAGAAAUAAUGCGUUUUCAAUCUCUAGACUAUGUUGCUUUCAAUGAAAAUCUUAGAAAAAGGGUUCCUACCAAUGUUUUAGUUGAUAGAAUUUCUGAACUUAAUGAUGAUUUGGCUAUUCGAAAUAAUGAACUAGGAUAUUCUCUUGAAUAUAGGCUCACAAAGUUCUGGCAAAAGAAUGCUUAUAAUGAUGAAUUGGUUGUGCAUUAUGAAGGACCAAAGGAGGAACCUAUACCUCCCAAGGUUGAUCUUGGGGACUUUUGUCCCGUUAAAUUUAGGCCUUUUGAUUACUUCUGCUUGCCUCAAAUAAAACUUGCUGCCGAACGUAGAUAAUAUGAAAUGAGUUUUAAUAAUCUAUCUUACUAUUAUGGCAAUACCUAGAUCUAUUCUUGCUUGUUAUGCCUAGCUAGGGGCGUUAAACGAUAGCGCUUGUUGGGAGGCAACCCAAUUUUAUUUUUAUUCCUUGAUUUUUGCUCCUGUUUAGUAAUAAAUAAAUUAUUUAUUCUCUGUUUUUGUUGUGUUUUUUUUGUUUAAUUAGUGUUUGUGCCAAGUAGAACCGUUGGGAAGACUUGGGGAAAGUCUUGUUGAACUUGCUGUAAAAACAGAAACUUUAGCGCUCACGAGAACUGCUGUCAUUUUUAUUUGGAAAGUGAUAGUUAGUUAAUUAUUGUUGAAGAUGAUUAAUAUAUAAAUUCGUCACGUCCAGCAAUUUAUUUUAGAAUUUUUGGGGUUCCAGAUCUUGCGCUAGCUACAGAUUACUACAGACUGUUCUGUUUUUGACAGAUUCUGUUUUUCGUGUGUUGUUUGCUUAUUUUGAUGAAUCUAUGGCUAGUAACAUAGUUUAUAAUCCAUAGGGAAUUUGGAAUACAGUAGGUUUAACACCAAUAUAAAUAAAGAAUGAGUUCAUUACAGUACCUUGAAGUGGUCUUUUGUUUUCUUUCGCUAACGGAGCUCAUGAGAUUUUCUACUUUAAGUUUUGUGUUGUGAAGUUUUCAAGUUUUGGGUAAAGAUUUGAUGGAUUAUGGAACAAGGAGUGGCAAGAGCCUAAGCUUGGGGAUGCCCAUGGCACCCCCAAGAUAAUAUGAGGACACCUAAAAGCCAAAGCUUGGGGAUGCCCCGGAAGGCAUCCCUCUUUCGUCUACUUCUAUCGGUAACUUUACUUGGAGCUAUAUUUUUAUUCACCACAUGAUAUGUGUUUUGCUUGGAGCAUCUUUUAUGAUUUGAGUCUUUGUUUGUUAGUCUACCACAAUCAUCCUUGCUGUACACACCUUUUGAGAGAGCCAUACAUGACUUGGAAUUUUAUAGAAUACUCUAUGUGCUUCACUUAUAUCUUUUAGAGCACGGUGGUGGAUUUGUUUUAUAGAAACUAUUGAUCUCUCAUGCUUCACUUAGAUUAUUUCGAGAGUCUUAAUAGCAUGGUAAUUUGCUCAAAAUCCUAAUAUGCUUGGUAUGCAAUAUUAAUAAUAAAACUUUCUUAUGAGUGUGUUGAAUACUAAGAAAAGUUUGAUGCUUGAUGAUUGUUUUGAGAUAUGGAGGUAAUAAUAUCAAAGUCAUGCUAGUUGAGUAUUUGUGAAAUUGAGAAAUACUUGUGUUGAAGUUUGCAAAUCCCGUAGCAUGCACGUAUGGUAAAUGUUACGCAACAAAUUUGAAACAUGAGGUGUUAUUUGAUUGUCUUCCUUAUGAGUGGCGGUCGGGGACGAGCGAUGGUAUUUUCCUACAAAUCUAUCCCCCUAGGAGCAUGCACGUAGUGCUGAGGUUUUUGAUGACUUGUAGAUUUUUGCAAUAAGUAUGUGAGUUCUUUAUGACUAAUGUUGAGUCCAUGGAGUAUACACACUCUCACCCUUCCAUCCUUGCUUGCCUCUUCGGUAUCGUGCAUUGCCCUUUCUCACAUUGAGAGUUGGCGCAAACUUCGCCGGUGCAUCCAAACCCCGUGAUAUGAUACGCUCUUUCACACAUAAACCUCCUUAUAUCUUCCUCAAAACAGCCACCAUACCUACCUAUUAUGGCAUUUCCAUAGCCGUUCCGAGAUAUAUUGCCAUGCAACUUUCCAUCAUUCCAUUCAUCAUGACACAUUCAUCAUUGUCAUAUUUCUUAGCAUGAUCAUGUAGUUGACAUAGUAUUUGUGGCAAAGCCACCGUUCAUAAUUCUUUCAUACAUGUCACUCUUGGUUCAUUGCAUAUCCUGGUACACUGCCGGAGGCAUUCAUAUAGAGUCAUCUUUGUUCUAGUAUCAAGUUGUAAUCAUUGAGUUGUAAAUAAAUAGAAGUGUGAUGAUCAUCAUUAUUAGAGCAUUGUCCCAAGUGAGAAAAAAAAGGAAGGCCAUAAAAAAGAAGGCCCAAAAAAAAGAGAAAGGCCGUUAAAAAAAGAAAAGGCCAAAAAAAUGAGAGAAAAAGAGAGAAGGGACAAUUUUACUAUCCUUUUACCACACUUGUGCUUCAAAGUAGCACCAUGAUCUUCAUAGUAGAGAGUCUCUCAUGUUAUCACUUUCAUAUACUAGUGGGAAUUUUUAAUUAUAGAACUUGGCUUGUAUAUUCCAACAAUGGGCCUCCUCAAGUGCCCUAGGUCUUCGUGAGCAAGCAAGUUGGAUGCACACCCACUAGUUUCUUUUGUUGACCUUUCAUACAUUUAUAGCUCUAGUGCAUCCGUUGCAUGGCAAUCCCUACUCCUUGCAUUAACAUCAAUCGGUGGGCAUCUCCAUAGCCCAUUGAUUAGCCUUGUUGAUGUGAGACUUUCUCCUUUUUUGUCUUCUCCACAUAACCCCCCUCAUUAUAUUCUAUUCCACCCAUAGUGCUAUGUCCAUGGCUCGCGCUCAUAUAUUGCGUGAAGGUUUAUAGGUUUGAGAUUACUAAAGUAUGAAACAAUUGCUUGGCUUGUCAUCGGGGUUGUGCAUCAUGAGAGCAUUCUUGUGUGACGAAAGUGAAACAUGACUAAACUAUAUGAUUUUGUAGGGAUGAACUUUCUUUGGCCAUGUUAUUUUGAGAAGACAUAAUUUCUUAGUUAGUAUGCUUGAAGUUAUGUCAAUAUGAACUUUUGUCUUGAAUAUUUUGGAUCUGAAUAUACAUACCACAAUUAAGAAAAAUUACAUUAAAAUUAUGCCAAGUAGCACUCCGCAUCAAAAAUUAUGUUUUCAUCAUUUACCUACUCGAGGACGAGCAGGAAUUAAGCUUGGGUGUCGGUGUCAAAACCGGCGGAUCUCGGGUAGGGGGCCCCGAACUGUGCGUCUAAGGCGGAUGGUAACAGGAGGCAGGGGACACAAUGUUUUACCCAGGUUCGGGCCCUCUUGAUGGAGGUAAAACCCUACGUCCUGCUUGAUUGAUAUUGAUGAUAUGGGUACUACAAGAGUAGAUCUACCACGAGAUCAGAGAGGCUAAACCCUAGAAGCUAGCCUAUGGUAUAAUUGUUGUUGUAUAUCAUCUAUCGACUAGCCUGGCCUCAGUUUAUAUAAUGCACCAGAGGCCUAGGAUAACAAGAGUCCUAGCCGAAUACGCCGGUGGGGAGGAGUCCUUGUCUUGACCACCAAGUCUUGUAGAAUCUUCCAUGUAUGCGGCAGCUGUGCGAACUAGCCCAUGAGUAUACGGCCAUGGGGGUCCUCAGCCCAAUCUAACAGAUCGGGAGAUGACGUGGUGAGUACCCCCUAGUCCAGGACACCAUCAGUAGCCCCCUGAACCGGUCUUCAAGUUAGAGACGCUCCUCGAUUCUUCCGGACUGUUCUUCAUCUUUGGUUGUCGGUCUUGGAAACUGGUUCAACAAAUCUUCCCAUCUUCGAUCUUGAGGAUCACCGAAAUGCAUUCGACGAGUUUACACAUCGGGUAUCCAAGGAGCCCCUUUAAGUGUCCGGCCUUUAUCAAUGCCUUGUUAUUUUUAGGCCACACCUCGGGUUUGAAGUUGUUCCCGGGAGGCAGUGUCCUCUUGCGUCCGAGCUCUAACGCCGGAUAGCAUUCGAGGUAUCUUUUGCAGCUGAGCACUAAUGCCGGACUACUUCCGAGCUCUAACGCCGAAAUGUAUCCAAGCUCCAACGCCGGACUGUGUCCAAGCUCCAACGCCGGACUAUAUCCAAGAUGUCAUAGAUCAUCUUGGUCCAAAAAAGUUGAAGGAGUUUAGCCGAGCUUAAUGCUGGAAAUGCCCUCUAUGGAGCCAGCCACUAGCGCCCGAGCUUUAUGCCGGACUACUUCCGAGGUGGUGCACCACCCCGACUGUGGGUCGAUUUUUUGUCAAUAUUUUUGAUUGGUGCAAUUUAUUCUCUGCCGAGAUAUAUAGCCAGUAGCCCUCAAGGUGUGUAUGGUCUAAAACCCGAGAUGCACCUGAAGGAUGACAUAAGGCCGCUGAUCCCAGUAGCUGCUGAGACUCAGGUUGAUUUGCAAAAUUGGCCUAAGGAUCAAGUCCUAGCUCGGCAGAAUACUUCGGGAUACAAAAAGCGGCGUGCUCAGUCCUCGAGACUCAGGUUGGGUGCGGCCAACCAACCUGAGGAUCAUAAUCUCCUCGGAAACUAUAUUGCACUUAAAAUUUUCUGCAUUGGACAGGCAAUGCAGUAGCCCCCGAGACACUGGUCGGGUGGCAACACCAGAUCAGGGGAUCGAUGUGCCCUUUAAUAUUUGUAAAUAAUAAGCCCGAAGCCCAGUAGCCCCCGAGCCUUAAUGCGGGCACGGGUGGCCGAAUUAAGGAUCGAUAUCCAUAUCAAAAUCACAAAUUAUGUGUAAUGACUCUAUGUAUCCAAGUACUUUACGUCAUUUAAUGCUCGGAUCCGCAUUGUACAAAACUUUGUUGACCGACCAUCGGCUUUCACCUCCUCGGCCAGUAGCCGAGGAGUGUUUGUCUUACUUUAUAAAGCCUUUAUGAGGGCAAGAAAAACAAGGCAAUCUGGCCAUACGGUUUUAUAAACAAAGGUACGCAGAGAGAUAUGUUAUAUUAGCGUUUUAACAUAAGAAAUGUCUUCCAAAGAAAAUAGUCCCGCUAUCGGUUCCUUUCUUUGGGUUGUCAUGCUAAGCAUGAUCAUGAGACCUUAGCUCUAAUAUAAGAGAAAAAUAUUGAGGAUUUUAGUUUGGGAGGCCAGUUAAUAGCCCCGGUAGUGUUCGGCGACAGUCGAGGUCAAGCCGUAAACACUUCGGCCAUUGUUAUGAAUGGCCCGUCAUUUAACAUAGUCAUCGGAUCGCUGACCAGUUUACGCUUAUUGUGACAGUCAGUUUUCAUAUUUCUCCACUGAGGUGCUUAACCAUGUGAGCUGGAAGCACAAUCAUAGUGGUUCUCCCUUUGCACGCCUAGCCGAACAAAGCGGAAUGUAGGAAGCAAGUGCAGGAGCCGGGCAACCCAACUAUUGACCGAAGACACAAUUCGAAACCGAUGCAUAUAUAGCAAUAUCCGAGAAUGUUUUUGCCGGAUACCUAAAGGUGUCCGGCAUUGCACUGCGAGACUUGUGCUGAAAACACACAAAUAGUUUAAAAGUGCCAAAAGCUUGGAAAACCAAAAAAUGUCAGUAAAAACUUAACGUCCGAACAAGAUCAAGUGUUCGGUGCCAAUCCGAAAAUUGGUGAUAGAAAAAAAGAGUGCUUCUGUCGUGCUUUAACAUGUCACAUCCUAUCUCAAGACUUCAGGCGGGUCAGCCUACGGCUUCAACCUCCUAUCCCGAAGGCGGAGUACUUCUCAUUAGGCCAGUUUAGCAAACUAAACUCUAGCGGCUUUGAGAGAGAAAUUAGGCUCCCUGGCUAGUGACCACACACUCGUGUCAAAAAAAGGAGUGAUGGAAAAAGACUUUGCAACGACCAAGAAGAAAACACAUUUACUAUAAAAUAGCUCAUAUAAAUUUUAAGAGCCCCCAAGUGACUUGGGAAAAGAAUUUUAUGCAUAAUGAUUGUAUGUACCGAAGUACUUAUAUCAUAUCUUUGUUCAACCGAACUUUAAAUGCGUCUUAACCGACCGUCGGCUUCUCCCUCUUCGGUCAAGGACCGAAAAGUGUUAUGUACUCCACCUGUCGAGAAUAUCGACAGUGUUUCUGAUAACCAGGCAACCGGGCCAUAAGGCUGUAACAAACAAAGCGCGCUCAGGGAAGUUAUGCUAUAUUACAAACGAAGUGUAAGAAGCAUCUUCGAAGAAAAUAGUGCCCCCACCGAUACCUUUCUUCGGUGCUCAUUAUUACUAUGAGACUUGUGCAAUAGAUUUUUUGUACUCAUGAGUUCAGUUGUGUGCCGACCAUGAUUGAAAACAAUAAGAGUGCUAGCUUUCAGCUUCACCCAGUCUGAGGUCAGAGCUCGGUGGACCCGGUCGUGACAAUCGCAGAGGUGCUCCCUUUACUCCCUAGCCAAACAAUCGAGAACGUAGGGGUAAGCACAGGAGCCAGGCAACCCAGCUUGCAAAUUGCUUAAGUCAAUAUGGUGCAUAUUGUGGCGUAAUACAUGAACAAGGAACGAAGCCGUACAAGUAUAAUCAUAUGCAAGAGGAAAAGGUUCAUAAAGGAAGCCCCAAAUAAACAGGGUAUUUGAAUUUGUGUGUCACAAACAAAGUUUGGACAAGAAAAUAUUUUACAAGCAACUUUUUUCCAAAAAAGUAUAAUGCUUGGUCGAACCGAACACAAGUUAAAAAUUUAAAACUUGGAGCAUGAAGGCAACUUAGCUGGUUAAUGUGUUCGGUAUUGACGACACGGUCCGAGCUUGAUGCAGGACAAGGUUCCAUCCCCCAAGCCAGUCCCGAGGUGGUGGAGCAAAGAGCUCGGCACUCCGAAGUGGUGACAUGGCACGGUCAAUGCAGUGUUGACGAAGCCCCCCGUCCAGCCGAGGUGACGUGGUAUGUCAGUACGCCGAGUUGACGAUACUGCCCAACCCGGAUAAUUUUCCUAUGCACAAAAAAAAUAGUGCAAACCGGAGAUAAUAGUAAUGAUAAUAAUAAAAAAUGUUGCAUAAUAAAUAAUUUAUGCAAAGUGAGUAAUAAAAGAAAUAUGGCCUGGCGCCGAAGUCAAUGUCGAUGCAGGGCGUCGGCGUGGUGCGGUAAAGGUGUGGCAAAGCCUGAAUUCACAGGUCGGUCCCAGUUCCGGAUGCGGCGUUCGCCGGACUAUGUACGGAAACUGACCAAACCACCACGCGACCAUCAUUAAUGCGACCAUCAUUUCAUAGACCUGUGUACAGAUGAUGGACAAACCAGAGUAAUAAUUCCUUGGGAAAAAUAAACCCAAACAAGCAAAAAAUACUAGGAUUAAUAGCACCUGGUUUAUUUGUUGUAGCAGUCCGAAGAAAGGUGAUUCCCAGAAUUGGGACUCGAUCCACACACCCAUUGCCUGAUGGGCGAUAAAGCGAAGGCAUGGCAAUGCUGGCAAAGGUCGGCUUGCCGAGGCAAAGCCCUCGGCCCAGCUAAUCGUGACGAAGCUGGUCGGCUGGUGACGCCAAAGUCACCGGAGUAGGUUGAUGAAGAGAUGAUGAAGCCCCCGGUCCAGCCGAGAUGUCGAAGCCUCGAUGUCAGCCGAUGAGUCGAAGUAGGUUGGCGUGAUGGACACCAGCUUGAAGAAGCAACAGUGCAGCCCUGCCGAUGCAGGUCGUGACGUGGUCGAUGCCGGCUUGAUGAAGUGACCGUGCGGCGAUGCCGGUAUGCCCGCUCCGUGUAAUCCGUGGGGCGGCGAUGUUGGUGAUGAUUUAUCCUUCGCGAUGCCGGACUCUUGCUCGGCUUGCCGAGAUAAUGAUCCAAAGAAGUUGAGCUCGGCUCAACAAAGUGACGACGUGUCUAGCGCAGGUCGGCAGCCGUGGAGCAAUAUUGCCGAACUGGUUUGACACUAGCAUGAUGUUGAAGAUCAUGUUCAAAAGAUCUUAAAGUUGGUGGGAGGUGUUCAGGAACAAAACACAAUACCCGAUACAACACUUCCUUCAAAAGGGAUGUCCGAAAUCCCGUUCAUAAAAAAGACGAAUUCGGGUCGGAUUCGUUUUCGCGCAGAAAACAGAUCCAAAAAGUGAUGCACUAAUCGGAAGGUUCCCGGUGUUUGGACGGUCGGAUCGAGCUGAAAUUUUGAGAGGUGGUGGAUAUAGGAAUCCCGCAGCAGAUCAACAGUUGGAUUUUCCAAAGGAUGUCCGAGCUAGAAGCUGGACACCACGCCCUAAACUCGUCCAGAUUCUCGUGUAGAUUUGACAGGGCUCCGGUAUAUCGUGGAUUGCCAGACAUUCCUCCAUCGGAACUUGAGGAAAUUUUCCAGGGUUGUUGUAGACUCAAUUCUGCACAAUUCCACCGAAGCAAUCGUUAAAGAGACACUUGAGGAGGCGGUGGCGGCGGACACAAGUUUGCUGUCUAGAAAAACAACACGGUCGCCUGAGGGCAAUGUUGACGUUGAGCCCCCGGGCUCCCUGGAUGAUUCCUCCAUGAUCUUGAUAGACAUCGGAGUGGAUGUUUAUAAAGGCCCUCAUCCGAACAUGACGAUCGGAGGUAGGGCGCAGUCCUUGGUCGAACCAAGGUGACCAGUCAAGCUGGUGACGAAAAUGCCGAAGUCGCAGUUGAUCUGCAGGCGAGCCAUCAACCUUUUGCCGAACAACAACGAAACUCUCAAUGAAAGCACCAAUGUCGGUGUCAAAAUCGGCGGAUCUCGGGUAGGGGGUCCCGAACUAUGCGUUAAGGCGGAUGGUAAUAGGAGGCAGGGGACAUAAUGUUUUACCCAGGUUCGGGCCCUCUUGAUGGAAGUAAAACCAUACGUCCUGCUUGAUUGAUAUUGAUGAUAUGGGUACUACAAGAGUAGAUCUACCACGAGAUCAGAGAGGCUAAACCCUAGAAGCUAGCCUAUGGUAUAAUUGUUGUUGUAUAUCAUCUAUCGACUAGCCUGACCUCGGUUUAUAUAAUGCACCAGAGGCCUAGGAUAACAAGAGUCCUAGCCGAAUACGCCGGUGGGGAGGAGUCCUUUAAUUGAUCACCAAGUCUAGUAGAAUCUUCCAUGCAUGCGGCAGCUGUCCGAACUGGCCCAUGAGUAUACGGCCAUGGGGGUCCUCGGCCCAAUCUAACAGAACGGGAGAUGACGUGGUGAGUACCCCCUAGUCCAGGACACCGUCAUUGGGGAUGCUUGAUAGUCUCCAACGUAUCUAUAAUUUUUGAUUGCUCCAUGCUAUAUUAUCUACUAUUUUGGACUAUAUUGGGCUUUAUUUUCCACUUUUAUAUUAUUUUUGGGACUAACCUAUUAACCAGAGGCCCAGCCCAGAAUUGCUAUUUUUGCCUAUUUCAGUAUUUCAGAGAAAUAGAACAUCAAACAGAGUCCAAACGAAAUGAAACCUUCGGAAACGUGAUUUUCUCAUCAGAUAAGAUCUAGGAGACUUGGACCCUCCGUCAAGAAAGCCAUGAGGCGGUCACGAGAGUGGAGGGCGCCCCCCUAGUGCGCGCCCCUGCCUCAUGGGCCCCUCAAAGCUCCACCGACAUACUCCUUCCACCUAUAUAUACCUACGUACCCCCAAACGAUCGGGGACGGAGCCAAAAACCUAAUUCCACCGCUGCAACUUUCUGUAUCCACGAGAUCCCAUCUUGGGGCCUGUUCCGGAGCUCCGCCGGAGGAGGCAUCGAUCACAGAGGGCUUCUACAUCAUCAUCCAAGCCCAUCCGAUGAAGUGUGAUUAGUUUACUUCAGACCUACGGGUCCAUAGUUAGUAGCUAAAUGGCUUCUCCUCUCUUUUUGGAUCUCAAUACAAUGUUCUCCCCCUCUCUUGUGGAGAUCUAUUCGAUGCAAUCUUCUUUUUGCGAUGUGUUUGUUGAGACCGAUGAAUUGUGGGUUUAUGAUCCAGUCUAUCUAUGAAUAAUAUUUGAAUCUUCUCUGAAUUCUUUUAUGUAUGAUUGGUUAUCUUUGCAAGUCUCUUAGAAUUAUCAGUUUGGUUUGGCCUACUAGAUUGGUUUUUCUUGUCAUGGGAGAAGUGCUUAGCUUUGGGUUCGAUCUUGCGGUGUCCUUUCCCAGUGAUAGAAGGGGCAACAAGGCACGUAUUGUAUCAUUGCCAUCGAGGAUAACAAGAUGGGGUUUUUAUCAUAUUGCAUGAAACUAUCCCUCUACAUCAUGUCAUCUUGCUUAAGGCGUUACUCUGUUUUUAACUUAGUACUCUAGAUGCAUGCUGGAUAGCGGUCGAUGAGUGGAGUAAUAGUAGUAGAUGCAGGCAGGAGUCGGUCUACUUGUCUCGGACGUGAUGCCUAUAUACAUGAUCAUACCUAGAUAUUCUCAUAACUAUGCUCAAUUCUGUCAAUUGCUCAACAGUAAUUUGUUCACCCACCGUAGAAUACUUAUGCUCUUGAGAGAAGCUACUAUUGAAACCUAUGGCCCCCGGCUCUCUUUAUCAUCAUAUCAAUCUCCAUCACUUUAUUAUUGCUUUGCUUUUACUUUUUACUUUGCAUCUCUAUACCAAAAAUACCAAAAAUAUUAUUUAUCAUCUCUAUCAGAUCUCACUUUCGUAAGUGACCGUGAAUGGAUUGACAACCCCUAAGCGCGUUGGUUGCGUUGAGCUAUUGUUUUUGUGUAGGUACGAGGGACUCGCGUGUAGCCUCCUACUGGAUUGAUACCUUGGUUCUCAAAAACUGAGGGAAAUACUUACGCUACUUUGCUGCAUCAUCCUCUCCUCUUCGGGGAAAUCCAACGCAGUGCUCAAGAGGUAGCAGAUGGACCCUCCUGGGACCCAGGCUGGGGCUGCGUGCGAUCGGGCGAGGCAUCGAAAGCCAAUCAUUUCAGUAGGUAUGUACAUCCCACACAGUAAUCUGAGAAAAUCAUUUAUGUAGGUAUGUACAUCCCACACGGUAAUCCGAGAAAAUCAUUUCCGUAGGUAUGUACAUCCCACACGGUGAAUCUCAGAAUUCCGUUCGUAUGUAAAGCAGACACAGUCAAUCCAAGGAAUACAUUUCCGUUCUUAUGUACAACCCACACAGUCAAUCCAGGGAAAACAUUUCUGUUCGGAUGUACAUCCCACAUGGUUUUAUGUAUACGCUCGUGUGUGAAAGGUGUAACUAUCACACACGCUCUGCCUUGGUUAACUGUUUGCUUUCAUUAACUACAUCACACACGAUUUGAUGGAGAAAACUGUGUGACAUUGGGCUAUCUAUCGCAAGUGCUUUUACUGCUAGAACCGUUUGCAAAGGUCCAUGACUAUCCCUUCUAUUUUUAUUUUUGUGUGUAAUUUAUUAUUAUAAUUGAAAAUUUUGAAAUACGAAACAUGCAAUUCAAAUUCUCAGCACAAUGGUUCAACAACGAAUCCAGAAAUAAAAUUGACAGUACAAUAUGUUCAGUAAUUACAUGAUUAGGCAGCAAUUAACUAUGAUGAACCGCAGUAUUUAAAGGCGACAAAGGUGAAGAGACAAGUUUAAACCAUUUUGACUGCCGACGGUGUUGAAGAAGAGGAAUGCCCAUAAUGUGCCUUCCUGCAUGCCAUAGGCACGAACCACUUUUGUCCAACCCCUUGUGACGAUCGCCCACCCAUCCUUCACCGCCUUCAGGAAGACUUAUAGAGCAUUAUCAUGGUAGCAUGAAUUAUAUACGUUAACCUUAGUUGCCUCCACUCUGUUCAUGUAGUUUGUAAGGUAAUAAUCAGUAAAUAGCUUCGGAAACCACUGAAAGAGAAAAAUAUCAGAAACUAAGGUCUAAUAGAGUAACUUGUUGUGGGCAGGGGGAAAAGGCAACACAUUACUUACCAUCCUAAAGUUCACUGUUGUCUUUGACAAAGUGUAAAUAAAGAGCUUAAUUCCAAUCACUCGUUUCUUUCGCCUAACAAUCUUUCUUAGUUUCCUCACUUGACACUUGUUCACGAAUAUCACAUUGCCCCAUACGCAAAAGGGAUCGAAGCGUGGAUCAGUACCCCUCAUAUAUGUACCUACAAGCAACCAGUAAAUGCUAGAAGCUAAACUAAGAUUGCACAAAUGAUGUAAAAUAUAACUACCUAUGUUCCUAAGUACAGGUAUUUUUUUGAGAUUUCAAUACGAACUACAUACGGAUGUAUAUAGAAUUAUAGAUAUAGUUUAGAUUAGAAUCUAGAUUCACUCAUUUUACUCCUUAUGUAGUCUAUAUUGGAAUCUCUAAAAAUACUUACAAUUAGGAAUAGAUGGUGUAUAAGACAUGGGAUGCAGCUAACCUCGACGGCAAACAACAUCAUCGUCCAUUGUAGCCCUAUGUAUGUACAUGGAAAGCCAAUGUUAACUACAACAUGGUUAACAUCCACCAAAAAUAGCAAAUGGUAAUAAAACGACAGCAUCUAUAGUGAUAUCUUCAUUUUGAAAGAGUAGCACGGUAGCAAAGGGACGGAUUGAAAAUGGAUACAACUGUUAAUUGCAACAGGCUUAAUGGCAAUUGAAACCGGUACUGAUAAAAAUGCAAUUGGCAAAGUUAAACAUCACAGGGCAGGUGCUGCCAGAGCAGAUAAUGGCCCAGUUCUCUAUAAAAAAGGUAGGGAAAAUAGCUCAAACGUGUUAGGCAUGUUUACUACAACAUGCUUAAUACAUCGAUAGUACAAAACAUAGCCAUUAAUUGCAACUGGUAUUGGUAAGAUUGAACUGGUGGGUACAUACUUGGUAAGUCCUGAGAGGUAGUUGCUGGGGCACUUCAUCUUGGCCAUAGCCCGCCCAAAGUCAGCGGUGGCGGAGGCGAGCUGUUCCUCCGGGUCGAACCGUGGAUCAGUGCCACUGACAUGUGUACCUACAUGCAACCAGUAAAUGGUAGAAGUUAAACUGCAAUUGCACAAAUGAUGUGAACUAUUGUAAGACAUGGGAUGCAGCUAUCCUUGACGGCAAACAACAACAUCGACCGUUAUGACCCUGCGUAAGUACAUGGACAAGCAUGUUAAGUACAACAGGGUUAGCAUCCACAAAAAAGCAAAUGGGGCAACAUCUCUAGUAUAUCUUCAUUGCGGAGAGUAGCAUGGUAGCAAAUGGACAGAUUAAAAAAUGGAUACAACUGUUAAUUGCAACAGGCUUAACAACAUCAUAAGUCAUGUUUUGUAAGUUUGUAGCCAUUGAAAUGCAACUGUCUAAAAAUGGAUUCAACUUUUAAUUGCAACAGGCUUAAUAGACAUUGAAAUGGGUACUGAUAAAAAUGCAAUUGGCAUAGUUAAACAUCACAAGGCAGGUGCUGCCAGAGCAGAGAAUGGCCCAGAUGUCUAUAAAAAGGUAGUGAAAUAGCAAAACAUGUUAGGCAUGUUUACUAGAACAUGCUUAAUACAUUGACUGUACAGAACAUAGCCAUUAAUUGCAACUGGUAUUGCUAAGAUUGAACUGGUGAGUACAUACUUGGUAAGUCCUGAGAGGUAGUUGCUGGGCCACUUCAUAUUGGCCAGAGCUCGCCCAAAGUCAGCGACAGCGGAGGUGAUAUGUUCCUCCGGGUCGAACCGUGGAUCAGUGCCACUGACAUGUGUACCUACAUGCAACCAGUAAAUGGUAGAAGUUAAACUGCAAUUGCACAAAUUAUGUGAAAUACUGUAGGACAUGGGAUGUAGCUCACCUCGACGGCAAACAAAAGCAUUAGCCGUUAUGACCCUGCGUAAGUACAUGGACAUGCAUGUUAAGUGCAACAGGGUUAGCAUCCACUAAAAAUAGCAAAUUGGCAGCAUCUCUAGUGAUAUCCUGAGUCAUGUAUUGUAAGUUUGUUGCUGGUAUUAGUGAAAUUGAGCUGGACACGGUAAUAUUUGAACAUCACACAAUGUGUAGUACUGAAAUAAACAAGGCACGAACAUGCUUAAUACAUCAACCGUACAAAUCAUAGUCGUUACAAGUGGUAUCGGUAAGAUUUAGCUGGUCAAAUCUUACCUGUUAAGUCCUAGAGGGUAGUCGCUGGGGGACUUCAUCUUGGCCAGAGCCUGCACCAUGUCGGUGGCGGCAGCGAAGGCGAGGUGUUCCUCCGGGUCAACACGCGCAGCGGCCAUCGCGCCAUGGACCGCCAUUAGCUCCUGGCGGCAGGGGGGAUUUGGAGGCAUGAGGAUGUUUCACAGGCGCCAUUUAAGCAAUCAGGCGGGGACGUGAUAGAGAUUGGUGGGUCACCUGACUGGAUCCGAGCAGAACAUAGAUGUGGUUGAAGCCGUGGUUGCGGCGGCGGCGGUCUGAGAUGCCGGUAGGGGGAGGCGCGAGGGAGGGGGGAUACUGAGGGGAAGGGGAUGUGGUUGGAGGAAUAAAUUCUGAAAUCGCACGCCUAAUGAAAAUUUCGGUGCGAAAUUUGAAACUUUGGCGGGGGAAAUAUACAACGUAGACGAAGCGCGUAAAAUACUCGUGUGCGAGAAAAAAGAAAGUUGGCAGAUCCCGUCUCCAAAAAAAUGUACACAUGUACUUGAUUUUUUUGGUCAAUGGUAUGCCUGGUUUAUUAGAAAAUAUCGCACGGGUAACUGACUUAUGGGUCAUUAACGCAAAAAACGCAGAUGGGUACGGCAUAUUAACCGUGUGUUUUGUGAUCUUCUAAUGAUUAACGCAAAAAAACGCACACGGGCACACAUGCUAAUCAACGCCCAAAGACCACAAAGGAUGCUUUUACCGACAUUGUACGUUAAUACUACAAACUUAAAGUACUAUUGGUAAUUUUCUCUAAUACUACAAACUUAAACUACUUCUCACAUGCGGCCAUCAGGGCAUGCUGGCCAGACGCCGGCGUUCUCCAUCCCGGCCUUGUAGGCGGCAGCCCACCAUGCUUCGAUCUCAGCCAAGCUCUCCUCACCAUGGCGUGCAGCCUCUUUUUUCUUACGGCAGCGAGACUCUCUUUUCUUGACUGCUUUCUGCCUUUUCCGCUCCUUCUGUGCGGCUUUGGCUUCCUCUAGAUCCACCACCCAUUCGGCCAUGGCAGCGUCAAAGUCCGCCCAUGUAACUGUAUGGCCACCGAUGACGAUGAACUCGGCACGGCGAGAUGCCAUCACUUCCUUACCAUGUGUGCGGUCGCGGGCGGCGAGGAACGCGGCACAGGGGGGAUGCCAUCGCUUCCUUACCAGUUACUGUGCGCUGCGGUGCCAUGGACGUCUCCUGGUGAGAGCUCUGGGAUGGAGGGGCCGGGCAGCCGUACAGUGCGGUGGUAUUCAAGAGCUCAAAAACAAACAACAACAGAAAUUUGGGUUCCCUUACAAUUUUGCUCGUUCAUUAUAGCACACGGUUCAUCUUCGUCGCUUCCAGAAACAGUGUGCACUGAGCCUAUUGUGUGCUGCAUUAUGAUUGGACGGAACCCUAGCCACGCGGAUCGCGCGUGUGCAUCGUUGCAUGCGCCGCGAUCGAGCGGCAAUCCACGUCCCUCACAUCACACCCGUGCACCUGUAGCUGCAUUGGAUUUAUAUGCGCUAAAUGCCUAGAAAAUGCACAUAAUAUCCUAAAUAUGGUAAAUGAGCCCGGAAAAAUGCCAAAUUUGAACACGGUGAUUUGCUGGGUGUAUGUUCGCGUAGAAAAAAACUCCAGGGCAAAGAACGAAGAAAUUUUGGAUUCCCCUUCAAUCUUGAGGAUUUCCCUUUCGAAAGCAUGGAACUUCCUCGGUGAUGGUUCGAUUUAUGAAGGGCGUGCAUGACAACAUAAGCCAAACAUUCUCAAAUUUUUACCAAGGCAUGGUGUGGUCAUACCAUGGCACCAUGCCAGGCAUCAUGUUUUUUAAGCAUUUAUUUCAUUUUUUCUAUAGUUGAAAACCCAACAAACAGACAUUUGUGGUUGACUAUUUGUAACGCCCCGAGACCGAUGCACCAGGUGUCUUCCAGUUAUUCAUGUUGAGUGCCUUGUCAUAUCUUUACUUCUUGCACCAUGCUCAUCUCAUUUGGGUAUAUUGCUUUGUCAUGCCCAUCAUCAUCUUAUUGCAUUGCCUCUUGUCAUUUUGCAUGCUAAUCAUAUACCUUGUGGUAAUCUUCAUAUUGUUGCCAUGUGCAUUUCUUUCAUCCUUAUGUGGUGUGUUGUUGUUAUGAUGUGUGUGAGCAUCAUUCCUUGUCAUCUCUCUCAAGCCAUACCCAUGCAUCAUCACCUCUCACUUCCUUCUUCUUUCAUGUUUUUGCAAGUGACUUUAUUCCUCCUUCAUUAAUGUUCGUCCUUUCCCUAUAAAUCUUGCCUCUUUCCUACACCCUCUCUGUCAGAUUUCAUCCCAUUCAAAGUUGUUUUGGUCAGGUUCAAAAAUGAUUGAAGUUUGAGCAUAAUCCAAACUCUAAUUAUUUUUCUGAUUUCUAAAAAUGAAAGAGCAAUUUAUUAAAACCCUACAUAAAUCCAGGGUUCCAGAUAUAUAUUCAUAUAUCUCAUAUUCCUAACCAAAACCCGUGGACUUUCCCCUUUGUUGAUUGUUUAUUUAUAUAAAGAAAAAAAUAAAAUAAAGGAAAAGGCCCCUUACUUGUUCAGCUACUCACUGGGACUCCCAACUCCUACGCAGGCCACAAACCUGCAGCUCGGCCGACCUUUAGGCCCAACCGCCCCACCUACACCUAACCCUAGCCUCGACCGACCUAUCCCUCUCUCUCCCCUGCUCGUUCCCACCGCCGCCAGAAGCCAUCUCCCUCGACUCCUCCUCUAGCGCCGCCAGAGACAUGCACGCAGGCGCAGUCCUCUGCUUCGACCCGACCUCAUCCUUUCCCUUGUUCCCUUGUGUCGGCUCCCCCUCAUAUCGAUCUUUCCCUGUCCUCUCGCUCAAGCUAACCACCCCGCGGCCCCGCAAGCUCGCCUGCCCGCACGGCCAUGGCUUCGCCGCCCUCGACCCGGCUCACCCUUGACGCCCCCUUCGCUGGAGCCCUUCCUCCGCCUCUGCUUUGGCCUCCCGUGAUAGCCACGCCGCGCCCUCAAGCGCCUCACCUCCCACAGCCGGUCGAGGACCUCCUCGUCGCCUCCUCAUCUACCCGGCGCCACUGACUCGUCAGCUCCGUCGCCAGGGGAGGAGACCCUCAACCUGUCCCCUUCGGCCCUGACUCCGGCGAGUGCCGCCCUGUCGACUCUCCUCCGCGCGACGCCUCCCCUCUGCUGCCUUGUUCCUUUGCCUGCGACUGCCCUUUUCUUUCCCGCCUUGCCUCACGCGACCCACAUGGGCGCCGGCCAUGGAGGCCACCGUGCCGGCCUGCAGCUUUGCGCGUGCUGCCUUGCCUUCCUGCUACUUCGUCCGACUUCGGACGACCUCCAUCGAGCUCGCCCGGCCACCUUCAACCUCGGCGUGGCCCUGCCUCCACUAGCAGCCUCCUGGAGCCGGCCAUUUCCAUGGGUUCGGGGAGCCCCAAGUCUUGUCCGUGGCCUCGUUGGCUGUUGAUGUUACGCUGUUGGCUUUCUCCAUCGUCUCCCCGGGCUCGUCAAAUCCUGUACCAGGAGCCCAAGCCGGAAGACUCCAUGGAUGUGCAUCUCACUUGUGCCAUUUUGGAUCGUCAAGAACGUUUCGAGAUUCGCCAAGUACCAUUACGCCCGGAGACCACGGAUCCGUCAAGUUCCACUACCGUCGCCAUGGAUCCGACAAGUUCGCGAGUACGACCACUUACCACGACGACCUUGUACCACUACCGUCGAUGAAGACAUGUGCACCGCAAGCGUCAAGUUCAACUACCGUCGACGGCGAAGGGUUUGGAGUCAUCAGGCACCUCUCUGAACGAACGGGAACGACUAUCGUAGCCGAGAUCACGAGAACCUCUACCGACGACCUCGAAACGUGUACGAUGACCGUUGUCGAAGACACGUACCACUACUGCUUCCUGAACGUGUACCACGACUUCCAUGACUUCCGUGAACCGCUACUUCCACGACGGUCAUGAACGACUACUUCCCUCCAUGAACUCGAUACGCUUCGAAAACGUACGCUUCGAAGGUAUAGCCCCGAGACGACCGUCCGAGAAUGAUUGCUUGUGUUGUAUGAGAUGCACCGGUUGUCUGCACUGUGUCGGUAGUGUCUCUCGCUUCCAUGCUGUCGACAGUUGGGACACCCGGUAACCAGGAGGACCCCACCCUUUAUAUAUUUCAUAUUCCUAACCAAAACCCCUGGACUUUCCCCUUUGUUGAUUGUUUAUUUAUAUAAACCAAGAAAUAAAAGAAAGGAAAAGGCCCCUUACUUGCUCAGCUACUCACUAGGCCUCCCAACUCCUACGCAGGCCGCAAACCUGCAGCUGGGCCGGCCUUUAGGCCCAGCCGCCCCACCUACACCUAACCCUAGCCUCAACCGACCUCUCCCUCUCGAUCCCCUGCUCGUUCCUACCGCCACCAGAAGCCUUCUCCCUCGACUCCUCCUCUAGCGCCGCCAGAGACAUGCAUGCAGGUGUAGUCCUCUGCUUCUACCCAACCUCAUCCUUUCCCUUGUUCCCUUGCGCCGCCUCCCCCUCAUAUCGAUCUCUCCCUCUCCUCUCGCUCUAGCCAACCACCCCGCGGCCCCAUGAGCUCGCCUGCCCGCACGGCCAUGGCUUCGCCGCCCUCGACCCAACUCGCCCUCGACGUCCCCUUCACCAGAGUCCUUCCUCCGCCUCUUCUCCAGCCUCCCACGAUAGCCAUGCCCCGCCCUCAAGCGCCUCACCUCCCGCAGCCGGUCCAGGACCUCCUCGUCUAACCGGCGCCACUGACUCGUCAGCUCCAUCGCCAGGGGAGGAGCCCCUCGACCUGUCCCCUUCGGCCCCGACUCCGGCGAGCGCCACCCCAUCGACUCUCCUUCGCGCGACAGCUCCCCUCUGCUACCUCGUUCCUCUGCCUGCAAUUGUCCUUUGCUCUCCCGCCUUGCCUCACGUGACCCACAUGGGCGCCGGCCAUGGAGGCCACCGUGCUGGCCUGGAGCUUCACGCAUGCUGCCUUGCCUUGCUGCUGCUUUGUCCGACCGCGGACAACCUCCGUCGAGCUCGCCGGCCACCUUUGACCUCGGCGUGGCCUUGCCUCCACUAGCAGCCUCCUGGUGCUGGCCGUUUCCAUGGGUUCGGGGAGCCCCAAGUGUUGUCCGUGGCCUCGUUGGCUGUUGAUGUUAUGCUGUUGGCUUUCUCCAUCGUCUCCCUGGGCUAUUCAAAUCCUGUACCACGAGCCCAAGCCGAAAGACUCCAUGGAUGUGCAUCUCACUUGUGCCAUUUUGGAUCAUAAAGAACGUUUCGAGAUUCGCCAAGUACCAUUACGCUUGGAGACCACGGACCCGUGAAGUUCCACUACCGCCGCCAUGGAUCCGACAAGUUCGCGAGUAUGAUCACUUCCCACGAUGACCUUGUACCACUACCGUCGACGAAGACAUGUGCACCGCAAGCGUCAAGUUCAACUACCGUCGACCGCAAAGGGUUUGGAGUCAUCAAGCACCUCUCCGAAUGAACGGGAAUGACUAUCAUCGCCGAGAUCAUGAGAACCUCUACCGACGACCUCGGAACGUGUACGACGACCAUUGUCGAAGACCCGUACCUCUACCGCUUCCCGAACAUGUACCACGACUUCCACGACUUCUGUGAACCGCUACUUCCACGAUGGCCGUGAACGACUACUUCCCUCGACGAACUUGAUACACUAAAACGCAUGCUUCGAAGGUAUAACCCCGAGACGACCAUCUGAGAACGAUUGCUUGUGUUGUAUGCGAUGCACCCGUUGUCUGCACCGUGUCCGUAGUGUCUCUCGCUUCCAUGUUGUCUACACUUGGGACAGCCGGUAACCGAGAGGACCCCACCUUCUAUCGCAUGUCACACUCCCGUCACUUUUCCUUUUGCAUCGGUAUCUCCAUGAGCUAUCGGAACCGGAAUGAUGCCGUGGCACCAUUUCCGUUGUCAUUGUCGUGGCACCCCUUUAUUUCCACCAUGGUGACAAAUGUUUCAUAAUGCUCUUAUCAACAUUUUCAUAAAAUUGCAUAAACUUGCAUAUGCCAUCCGCAUCAUGAUAAUAACAUUAAAAAAUUUUAAAUUGUUGUUUGCAUUAAAAUGCUAAUGCAUAUGGGGAUUUACCGGUAUUGUUGUUUGUUAUUUCCGGCCUCAUUUAAACUUGCCUAAUGUUUAGUUUACUUAUGCUCCACCUCUUGCCAUGAUUAAACAACAUUUAAUUUUGUUGAGUAGUUUAAACGGGAGAGAACUAAAUAAUUAAAUGUGGUGUUUCGUCAAUAUGCAAGUCGUUGCAUAUUGAGCUCCACUUAACUUGUAGUUUUGCUUGUGCACUUUGCCAUGCCAUGCCUCAUUAAACCGUACAUGCAUCAUACUUGGUUGUGCAUCAUGCCAUGUUUAUGUGAUGGUUGUUUACCAUGUUGUUUGCUCCUUUCCAGUGUUGCUUCUUCUUGUUAGUUCCGGUAACGUCGCGUUUGUGAGGAUCCGUUCGACUAUGUCCGUUUGUCUUCUUCAUGGACUUGUUCUUCUUCCUCGCGGGAUCUCAGGCAAGAUGACCAUACCCUCAAAAUCACUUCUAUCUUUGCUUGCUAGUUGUUCGCUAUAUUGCUAUGCCGCGCUACCUACCACUUGCUAUAUCAUGCCUCCCAUAUUGCCAUGUUAAGCCUCUAACCCACUUUUCCUAGCAAACCGUUGUUUGGCUAUGUUACCGCUUUUGCUAAGCCCCUCUUAUAGUGUUGCUAGUUGCAGGUGAAGAUGAAGUUUGUUCCUUGUUGGAACAUGGAUAUUGUUGGGAUAUCAUUAUUAUAUCGUAUUUACUUUAAUGCAUCUAUAUACUUGGUAAAGGGUGGAAGGCUCGGCCUUAUGCCUGGUGUUUUGUUCCACUCUUGCUGCCCUAGUUUCCGUCAUACCAGUGUUAUAUUCCUUCAUUUUGCGUCCCUUACGCGGUUGGGUGUUAUGGGAACCCCCUGACAGUUCGCUUUGAAUAAAACUCCUCCAGCAAGGCCCAACCUUGGUUUUACAUUUGCCUAACAACCUAUCACCUUCCCUUGGGUUCUGCAGACCCGAGGGCCAUCUUUAUUUUACCCCCCCAUCCCCCGGGCCAGUGCUUCUCUAAGUGUUGGUCCGAACUAGAGCCCCUUGCAGCGCCACCUCGGGGAAACUUGAGGGCUACUUUUAGUUGUACAGAUUGAUCAUUUGGUGUUGCCCUGAGAACGAGAUAUGUGCAGCUCCUAUCGGGAUUGUCGGCACAUUGGGCGACUUUGCUGGUCUUGUUUUACCAUUGUCAAAACGUUUUGUAACCGAGAUUCUGAGAUUGAUCGGGUCUUCUCGGGAGAAGGAAUAUGUCAGGACCCCGACUCGAUGUCACAUCGAUCUAGCCGGUAACACUUCAUAUCACUUUGCGGCCUCACGCACGGUAUUCCCACGGGUGUCGCCUUACCUUUGCCCGGGACCGUUUGCGCCUUUUGGCUCACGUAUAUGAUAGUGUCGCUAGCAUCCAUAUGAUAAAGAGCCCGGGCUGACAUGACUAGUCGUAAACCCAAAGUGGCACAGACUUACAGGGACAGGCAUCCAUGACCCAGCUUCGAACGUGUCGGUCAUCAGCAAGUGGGUCCGGGCUGUAGCACUGGGCUAGCAGGACUCCGGUAAACCGGGCUGUAGCGGGCUAACAGGACUCCGGUACUCAAAGCGUGACAUUUCCCCGAAGGGACAGACACAGGAACGAAGAAGGACACAUGCCGGCCAGCCUAAGUGUUCCAGAGCAGUAGCAUGCUACCAUGGCUCAGCGGUAACACUAGGAGACAUUUCCCGGUAAGAGAGGCUACUAAAGAUAAACAACUAGGUAGUCAGAUCCCACACAUACCAAGCAUUUCAAUCAUACACACAAUAUGCUCGAUAUGUGCAAAUAUAACGAAGCAUCACAACAUGACUCUACGACACAAGUACUUUUAUUUAAGGCUCAGCGAGCCAUACAUAACAUACACACAAAGGUACGGGUCUCACGACCCAACAUACAAGUCAUACAGUCAUACAAGCCAACAGCGGAAGAAACUUGUCUGAGUACAGACAACUAGUAAAAUAAAAGAGGCUCGGAAGCCUAACUACACUAUGUGGUCCAUCACAAGCUCAGGGUCACCACCUGGGUCUUUAGCCUACUCGUUGAUGUCAACGUCUACAUAGAACCCAUCAGAAGGGGUUGCAGCGUCUUCUGUAAAAAUGUAGAUUAUAGCAACAUGAGUACAAAGGUACUCAGCAAGACUUACAUCAGAUCCUACAUACAUGCAUAGUAUCAAGAAGGGUUGGUGGAGUUAUUGCAGCAAGCCAGCUUUGACUCCUGGCUAGACUAUCCUACGAUACUCCAAUUUGAAAUGUUUUGCGCACACGAGUCCACUACUCACCACUUCAAUACACUACCGAGGAUCCACCUCCGUCUUCCUACGGAAGACCCAUCCUCGGCACUCACACUUAUCUUGAGGCUUUUAAUAGUUUCCAUUUACUUGUCUAUGAACUGUAUAGGCAACCAAGUAGUCCUUUACCGCGGACGCGGCUAUUCGAAUAGAUCAUGUUAACCCUGCAGGGGUGUACUUCUUCAUACACGCUCUCACCACUUAUCGUCGUUUACACGACAUGUACUCGGCAACCUUCAAGCGGAAGCCCAACGUGGGUGUCGGCCACGACCUACCUAAUCACCUAAGCCUCCAGUCCAGGUUUAUCGCCUAUUCAGGUUCCAUCCGCAGGGAGUCCGGCCGAGGUUUCCCAUACGGCCCCGAACGAUGUGAACAGGGUUCCCGAGAUACCUAACGGGUAUUCGGUACACCGUGCCACGUACCUACCGCAUCAUAGCCCACCCCUACGGUCAGCGCUGUCCACGGCCUCCAGUAGGCUACAAACACCAGAAACUACUUGCAACUCCUGGACGGAGAACUAGGGUGAAUAAGAAGUCGAGAGGGUCCAUUGGUUUCGGGCCCAAUGCAUGGUAGUAGCUGAUUCUUAAAUCACACAUACAGAUCUCAGUGCUUAAGGUCGGCUUCAAUGAAACAACCCACCAUGUACUCCUACAUGGCCUCUCAUCGAUACCUUUACCAAAUCGUGUUCACCACACUACUCUCAUUACUGACAUAAUCAUUUCACUCUAGCCCAUCACCCAGAUGAACCAGACCUGACUCAACUCUAAGCAUAGCAGGCAUAGCAAGGUAGGAACAACACAUACAUAUGGCUCAAUCAACUCCUACACAUGCUAGUGGGUUUCAUCUAGUUACUGUGGCAAUGACAGGUCAUGCAGAGGAAAUGGGUUCAACUACCGUAGCACACAGCAGUUUGAAUCGCGUUGUCUUAAUGCAGUAAAAGAGAGCAGGAGCGAGAACAUGGGAUUGUAUCGAUAUGAUCAAAUGGUUGGUUGCUUGCCUGAUGGUUCGUUGCACGGAUACGGUUCUUCGUUAGGGUAAUCACGGUACUCCUCGGGAACAGAUCCUGUCGCAAAGGACAUCGAUACACAAACAUCACCAAACAAUAUGCAACAAUAUGAUGCAUGCAUGAAACAUGGCAAUAUGAGUGUGUUGGGCUAAUGCAACUAAAACCAGAAGGGUUUGAACAAAUUUGAAUCAAAGAUUCAAAUUUCAAUUUCAAAUAUGGCCUUUUAAAGGGCCUUUCCUUGUUCUGAUUAAAACAUCAACUUAACUUGUUUGAUCAUGCAUGAAAAUGGUACAGAUGGAUAGAUUGGAUUUUUCUGAUCAUUUUUCAUAUAUUAUUUGUCCAAUUUGGAGUUACAGAAUAAAAGUUAUGAAUUUUUGAAGUUUAAAUAAUAUUCUGGAAUUUCCUGAUUUAAUUUAAAUCCAGAAAUAUCAUUUACUGCGUCAGCCUGACAUCAUAGUGACAUCAGCAGGUCAACAGGGCUGGCUCGGGUCAAACCUGACGUGUGGGGUCCACACGUCAGUGUCACAGGGGCUAAUCCCGCGUUGACCCCGGGCUGGUUAGCUUUGACUAAGCCCUGGGGCCCACUUGUCAGCGUCAGUAGGUGGUGGAUUAGUGGUUAAUUAGCUGGGCCACGUCAGCUCGCCGGAGUUCUGGCCGGCGGCGACCAACAGUGCGGCGGCGAUAGUGGUUUUGGUCGUUUCGGCCACCAAAUGGAACGUGGCGACCACCGGAGUGAAGCUGAGGACGACCCGCGGCUCUUGGCGGAGUCCGUUGGGGUCGGGGUGGCCGGAGUCGACGGCGGCGAGCUCAGCUGCGGCCGCCGGGGUUCGGUCGUGCACGGGAGUGGUGCUGGAGCUCGAAGUUGAGCAAAGUGAGGCGCUAGGGAGGCUCUACUGGGUUCUGUGAACGCGUUGGACUCGCCGGGGUGACCAAGUGGUCACCGGAGCUGCGUCGACGGCGAGCUCGGCGACGGCGGAGGUUCGGCCGAGGUGGGGAUGCAGCUACGGUGAGGGAACGAGGGAAAGAAGAGGGGGGAACGGUGGCGUAGCUCACCGCGGUUGCAGUGGGCGUCGAAGCGGGCUCGGGGACGCGCUGGAGACGGCGAAUUCGUCGGCGACGGUGGUCGGAGUCCGAAGAGGGGAACGGCGACGUGGCGGCGAUGCAGGGCUUCCGGGGACUCGUGGAGCGGUGGGGAGGAAGAGGGAGUCGAGGCGGAGCUUCUGAGCUACUCGGGGGAGCGAGGGGUGGCCGGAGUCAGUGGCUACGGCGAACGGCGGCGACGGUGGUGUUCGGCCGAGAGCGAGAGAGAGCGAGGGAGAAGCGGGGGAGAGUGAGAGGGAGCAGGGGGGAUCGGGACGGGCUGCGGGCGUCGUCCACGCGGCCAGGGGGGCGUCGGCAAGCAGGAGGUGGCCGCGCGGCCGCGCGCGCGCGAGCACGCAGCAGCUUCGGGGCGUGGGGAGGAAGACGACGGGGAGCUACAGUGCUGGGCUGGCUAGCUGGGCCGGCCAGCUGGCUGGGCCGCACAGGUAAGUUUCUCCUCUCUUUUCUGUUUUCUGUUUUAAUUAAUAAUUCUGCAACUUUGUUGAAUUAAAUAAAAUACCUAGGCAACUCCAAAAAUCACCAAACUACUCCUGGUCCAUAGUUGGAAUAUUUCCAACAUGAAACAUUUUAGUUUGGAGAUAUUUGAGCAUUAAAAUAUUUUAUAUUAUUUUAAAUGCCCAAAUUCAAAUAGUUAUGAUUUAACUCAAGAACCCUAGGAUGGCCUAGAAAAGUGUGCACCAUUUUUGGCAGAGGUUCUGAACCAAGGCAAAAAUGAUGGGCAUUUUAGAAGGGCAUUUCAGGUUCAUUGAAAAUUAUUUUAGUAAACCCUAGUUGGUUAUCAGAGGGGACUGGGGGUUCUGUCAUCCCCAUUUCAAGUUUCUGAUGCAAAAGUAAACAUGAUGCAACACUCUAAUGCAUGACUAGCUAGGGUGUGACAACUCACCCCCACUCAAAAGAAUCUCGUCCCGAGAUUUGGGUUCCUCCGAGAAGAAGGCGGGAUACUCGAGUCGAAGACGAUCCUCCCUUUCCCAAGUUGCUUCAUCUUCAGAAUGGUGCGACCAUUGAACCUUGAGAAACUUGAUGUUAUGACGUCGCGUGGUACGUUCGGCUUGAUCGAGGAUACGAAUGGGGUACUCUCGAUAUGUAAGAUUAUCUUGGAGAUCAAGCGUUUCGUGGUCCACUUCACGGAUAGGAUCCGAGAAGCAACGUCUGAGUUGAGAAACGUGGAAGACAUCGUGAACUCUGGAGAGGUGCGGAGGUAGUUCCAAUUGGUAGGCAACUUCUCCUCGUUUGGCAAGAAUGCGAAAAGGUCCAAUGUAACGAGGAGCCAAUUUGCCUUUGAUACCGAAGCGAUGGGUUCCCUUCAGAGGGGUGACCCGAAGAUAAGCCUUCUCGUCAACCUCGAAAGUCAUAGCCUUAUGUUUUCGGUCAUAUUGACUCUUUUGACGAGAUUGGGCGGUUUUCAACUUUUCACGAACGAUACGAACUUGUUCUUCUGCUUCCUGAAUCAUAUCCGGGCCAAAGAAUUGUCUUUCCCCGGUCUCUGACCAGUUAAGGGGUGUUCGACAUCGUCGUCCAUAGAGGACUUCAAAAGGGGCUUUACCCAAGCUAGAUUGAUAGCUGUUGUUGUAAGCGAAUUCGGCAAAUGGAAGGCACUUCUCCCAGUCCAUUCCGAAUGAGAUAACAGAGGCUCGAAGCAUGUCUUCUAGAAUUUGGUUGACGCGUUCCACUUGACCACUUGACUGAGGGUGGAAAGCGGUGCUAAAGGAGAGACGAGUUCCCAUAGCAUUUUGGAAACUUUCCCAAAAUCGAGAGGUGAAAAGACUUCCUCGAUCCGAAUUGAUUUCCAAAGGAACACCAUGGAGGGACACUAUUCGGGAGAUGUAUAAGUCUGCCAGCUGACUAGCGGUUAUACUCUCACGAACAGGUAGGAAAUGAGCUACUUUGGAAAGACGAUCGACCACGACGAAGAUAGCAUUAUUCCCUCUCUUGGUCCUGGGAAAACCGGUAAUGAAAUCCAUACCAAUUUUAUCCCAUUUCCAUUCAGGAAUAGCUAAGGGUUGAAGGGUGCCAGCAGGCCGUUGAUGCUCUGCUUUUACACGACGACAGACGUCGCAAUUGGCAAUAUACUGAGCAAUUUCUCUCUUCAUCCUAGUCCACCAGAACCUCUGGCGUAGGUCCUGAUACAUUUUAGUACUACCGGGAUGAAUGGUGAGAGGAGAUUCAUGGGCUUCCUUAAGGAUUAUAUGCCUUAGGUUGCGCACUUUGGGAACUACUAAUCGAUCCCCGAAGUACACGACUCCUUGAUCAUUAACGGAGAAACAAUUCGCAAUUCCUUUCUGAAUAUUCCUCUUGAUGCGGGAGAUUCCCGGAUCUACCUUCUGUGCUUUGAUGAUUUGAUCCGUAAGGGUAGGUUUUGCCACCAAGGUGGAGAGAAAACCUUGAGGUACAAUGUGAAGGUUAAGCUUCCGAAAUUCCUCAUGGAGAAGCGGUUGACUUUGUUGUAACAUCAGGUUGUUACAAUAAGAUUUACGACUUAGCGCAUCAGCCAUGACGUUGGCUUUCCCUGGGGUAUAGGUUAUCCCUAAGUCGAAGUCUGUGAUCAAUUCAACCCAACGUCUUUGCCUGAGAUUCAAAUCCGGUUGGGUGAAAAUGUACUUCAGGCUUUGGUGAUCAGUGAAUAUUUCGCAACGAUUACCGAGGAGGUAAUGUCGCCAGGUCUUAAGGGCAUAGACUACGGCUGCAAGUUCUAGAUCAUGAGUAGGAUAAUUCUCCUCAUGUGGGUGCAAUUGCCGUGAAGCGUAAGCAAUUACGUGUCGAUCUUGCAUAAGGAUGCAACCUAGUCCUUGUCACGAGGCGUCGCAGUAGAUAACAAAGUCUUUGGAGAAGUCUGGUGGUACCAGCACGGGAGCAGAAGUCAGGCGUCUUUUCAGUUCCUGAAAGCUGUGCUCACAUUGUGAGGUCCAUUCGAACUUCUUAUCUUUCUUGAGGAGUUCGGUUAGGGGUUUAGCAACUUUGGAGAAGUUCUCGACAAAGCGACGGCAAUAGCUCGCUAAGCCUAGAAAACUCCGAACUUGCUUGACCGAUUCGGGUGGAGUCCAGUCAAGGACAGCUUGAACUCGCUCAGGGUUAACAGCAAUACCUUUACCAGAUAUUACAUGACCCAGAUAGGUCACUUCUGGCAACCAGAAUUCACAUUUAGAAAAUUUGGCAUAAAGGCGAUGCUCUCGAAGUUUCUGCAACACUAGCCUUAGAUGUUCGGCAUGUUCUUCCUCGUUCUUGGAGUAUAUGAGUAUAUCAUCGAGAUAAACUACGACGAAUUUAUCCAAAUACUCCAUGAAGAUUGAGUUCAUUAACCGAGAAAAAGUGGCUGGAGCGUUGGUUAAACCGAAGGACAUGACGGUGUACUCGUAUUGGCCGUAACGAGUAACAAAGGCCGUUUUAGGAAUGUCCCCGUUUCUGAUUUUGAUUUGAUGGUAGCCCAACCUCAAAUCCAUCUUGGAGAAGACUGAGGAUCCAGCGAGCUGAUCAUACAGAUCGUUGAUCCUGGGAAGUGGAUAUUUGUUCUUGAUUGUGACCAGAUUGACAGGUCGGUAAUCUACAACCAUUCGGUCCGUACCAUCCUUUUUCUUAACGAAUAGGACGGGGCAAGCCCACGGAGAUGAACUAGGGCGGAUGAAACCCUUUUUCAAGGAUUCAUCGAGUUGCUUCUUAAGCUCGGCUAGUUCUAGGGGUGCCAUCUUAUAAGGCCUUCUAGCAAUCGGAACGGUUCCUGGAAUGAGGUCUAUUACGAACUCAACAUCCCUGUCAGGUGGAACCCCUGGCAAUUCCUCUGGAAAGACAUCCGGAAAAUCACGAACUACCGGAACGUCCUCAAGGUCUGGCAAAGGGCUGGCGUUAAGAGAAUAUAAUUGUCGCUUGGCUAUUCGAGUCAAAACAUUGACUAUCUUCCCCGAAGGAUGGGUGAGUUGAACGGUCCUAGAGAAGCAAUCAAUUUUGGCUUGAUGAGCUGACAUCCAGUCCAUACCCAAAAUGAUAUUAAUAUCUGAAGAUUUAAGGGCUAUCAAAGAUGCAAGAAAAACAAGUCUGUCGACUUGGAUUUCAUUUCCAUGGCUUACUCUAGAAGUUUGCCAUUUGGAUCCCAGAGUUUGAAUUACCAUGGAGGAUGGAAAGUCACAGAAUGCAACGUUAUGCAAACGAGCAUAAUUUUCAGAUAUAAAAGAAUGAGAGGCUCCUGUAUCGAAAAGAACAGAUGCCGGGUGGCAAUUAACAAGAAGCGUACCGAGAACGACGUUGGGAUCUUCUUGAGCUUCUUCGGCAGAGAUACAGUUGACAUGGCCACGUGAAGCGGUGACCGGUUUGGCAAGGAACACCUUCCCUGUCGGCUUGCCACGGCCAACAGCUUUAGCAGAUUGAUUGGGGUUGGUCUGGGGACACUCACGCAUAUAAUGACCAGAUUCCCCACACUUGAAACAAGUCACGGAACUGGUACGUGGAGGAGCAUUAUUGGAUGGACCCCCAUAGGGCUUGGCUGGUGCAGACUGUUGGAUAGGGCGAGGCGCCUGAAAAGAUGGCCUCGGUGUGAACCUGGGUGGCAGGGCGGUAUUGGGUACCCACACGCGGCGCUUCUGAGGACUAGCACCGGAUGAGGAACCCAUAUCACGUCCAUGCUUGCGUGUUGCGUCAUAGUCAGUCUGACCAGUUUCAGCACUGAUGGCUUUGUUGACAAGUUUCGAAAAAGAUGUACACUCAUGCAGACGGAGGUCGCGACGAAGCUCAGGACUAAGGCCCUUACGGAACCUUGCUUGCUUCUUGGCGUCAGUAGAAACUUCCUCGGUUGCAUAUCGUGCAAGGUUACCAAACUCCCUGCUAUAGACAUCCACAGAAAGUCGGCCUUGGGUGAAAUUGCAAAAUUCUUCACGCUUACGGUCCAUGAGACCCUCCGGAAUGUGGUGUUCACGGAAAGCCUCACUGAAUUCAGCCCAAGUUGUGACAUGGCCCGCUGGGCGCAUGGCUCCAUAAUUCUCCCACCAUAGACUGGCGGGGCCUUCAAGGUGAUAUGCAGCAAAGGUGACUUUGUCAGCCUCCGCUACCAGCGCGGAACGCAGUUUAUGAGAGAUACUGCAAAGCCAGUCAUCAGCGUCGAGAGGCUCGACGGAGUGGUGGAACGUGGGUGGAUGCAAUUUGAUAAAAUCACUGAGUGACACCACGUUAGCCCUCUGAUGGUGUGCUGUGUUCUGUUCAAUACGCUCCAACAAACGGUUUGUCUCCCGCUUGUUUCUCUCAGCUUCCAUCAUCACCUCGGCUAGUGAAGGAGGAUGAGGCAGAUGUUCAUUUCUGGCUUCACUGCCUUCGGCCUGCUCUUGGGAAGCAGGGUUGGCGCGCGUGUUGACCAUCCUAGGUAAACAAGGCAAUGAUUUAGUCAGAAUGAUAAAAUUCCGACAUAGGAUACAUAAUGCAAGGAAUAACUCGGAAUGCAAGAUGAUCAUCCGUAUGACAUGGUAGAUACAGAAACUGCUUCUUUAUUCCAUCGUCAUACACACCAUACAAGGUUUAGUACAAGACCAAACAAAGUACUAUUACGGUGAAAAAAAGGAUUACAUCUCAUCGGAGGCAUCUCAAGCUACUAUACAUUAUUUUUCUACACCUCCGGAAGGAGUACAAACUAGUCAUAUCCCACGAGUCACGCAGGACGAUAGACGACACAGCUAGUGCGAACUGGUGAUACUACUACUAACUCAGACCGAUCCGUAAUAGUCCUCGUAGAAGUCACCUCCAUAGCCCGGAAGUUCAACAUGAUCAUCCGGAAACAGACGGUCUCGCGGAGCUUGUGGACCAUAGGGGCUAGGAUGAGGUCUUGGACCAGCAAACGGUGGCCUGCGGGGACCGCGAGGUGGGGUGAUGCCUCCUACAUCACGCCAAACCAUCACGUCUGGCAGAGCAGAUCUCACAGGAUAGAGAUCGCGCAUAUCUGAAUAUCCAGCUUGCACCGCCGGUGCGAACCGAGUCAAAGUGGCCCAGUGGUCAGCACGGGUAUUGAAGAGCUCUAACCUUAAGGCCCGAUUUUCACGGUCCUUAUCCUCGAGCAUCUCAGCAGUGGUGCGAGUCCGUGAAUCCUCCUGAGUGGAGUCAGCAUAUAUAGCCUGAAAAUAUCCUUGUGCUCCCGGAAGUGAUCCUGGCAUAUACCGGAAAUCAGAGUCCCGAAAUAACCUAGAUCUGACUCGCAUAAUGGUCAUCAUAGAGUAGGCGGCAUCCUGCACAGCCAUCUCGAUAGAAACCCCGAGUCCAUAGGAGCAGUGAAGAGGCUCAGUGGAUCCAGGAUAAGAUGGAAAUAUCCUGACAGUGCAGAGAUACUGGCUUUGAUUAAAGUCUCGGAAUUGUUCUUCGACCGUGUACUCAGGAUACCAGCGGUAUCCAGCCUCAGUCAUUACCCUGACCAACUUAGCAGUAUGGCCGGGUACAUCUAGGCACCGAGUCAGGCGAACCACUUGAUUGAGGUCGCGAGUGGCCAUCUGAAAGCACAAUUAUAAUGCAAAGGCAUUAGAAUUUCUAGCAAAAUUUCGGCAGCAUAACAGCUGUAAAUGCUCAAAAAGGAUAUUGAGACAUUUGACAAAGGAUUUCGUACACACUCAACAUCAUCAUAUCAAGUCUUGAAACCAUUCUUACAACAUAAUGUGGUGGUAGAACUGAACUAGGCUUGUAACCAUCAAACUUAUAAGGUACUACUGAUUAGUAACUCGUGAUCCUGAUAGAGAGAGCAGAUCCUAAUUCCUUAACCCCCGGUGGAAGAAUGGACUGACUCAGAUCAGAAAGUCAUAGGAUAUAAGGAGUAAAAAGAGCCUUACGUUCCAACCCACAAACAAUUCCCCUACAUAUAACUAAAGAAUUUCUAGACUCAACAUCAACCAGUUUGGCUUGGAGAACCUACAGGCAGUCCGGCUCUGAUGCCAACGCUGUCAGGACCCCGACUCGAUGUCACAUCGAUCUAGCCGGUAACACUUCAUAUCACUUUGCGGCCUCACGCACGGUAUUCCCACGGGUGUCGCCUUACCUUUGCCCGGGACCGUUUGCGCCUUUUGGCUCACGUAUAUGAUAGUGUCGCUAGCAUCCAUAUGAUAAAGAGCCCGGGCUGACAUGACUAGUCGUAAACCCAAAGUGGCACAGACUUACAGGGACAGGCAUCCAUGACCCAGCUUCGAACGUGUCGGUCAUCAGCAAGUGGGUCCGGGCUGUAGCACUGGGCUAGCAGGACUCCGGUAAACCGGGCUGUAGCGGGCUAACAGGACUCCGGUACUCAAAGCGUGACAUUUCCCCGAAGGGACAGACACAGGAACGAAGAAGGACACAUGCCGGCCAGCCUAAGUGUUCCAGAGCAGUAGCAAGCUACCAUGGCUCAGCGGUAACACUAGGAGACAUUUCCCGGUAAGAGAGGCUACUAAAGAUAAACAACUAGAUAGUCAGAUCCCACACAUACCAAGCAUUUCAAUCACACACACAUUAUGCUCGAUAUGUGCAAAUACAACGAAGCAUCACAACAUGACUCUACGACACAAGUACUUUAUUUAAGGCUCAGGGAGCCAUACAUAAUAUACACACAAAGUUACGGGUCUCACGACCCAACAUACAAGUUAUACAAUCAUACAAGCCAACAGCGGAAGUAACUUGUCUGAGUACAGACAACUAGUAAAAUAAAAGAGGCUUGGAAAGCCUGGCUAUACUAUGUGGUCCUCCACAAGCUCAAGGUCACCACCUGGGUCUUUAGCCUACUCGUUGAUGUCAACGUCUACAUAGAACCCAUCAGAAGGGGUUGCAGCGUCUUCUGUAAAAUGUAGAUUAUAGCAACAUGAGUACAAAGGUACUCAGCAAGACUUACAUCAGAUCCUACAUACAUGCAUAGUAUCAAGAAAGGUUGGUGGAGUUAUUGCAGCAAGCCAGCUUUGACUCUUGGCUAGACUAUCCUACGAUACUCCAUUUGAAAUAGUUUUGCGCACACGAGUCCACUAUUCACCACUUCAAUACACUACCGAGGAUCCACCUCCGUCUUCCUACGGAAGAGCCAUCCUCGGCACUCACACUUAUCCUGAGGCUUUUAAUAGUUUCCAUUUACUUGUCUAUGAACUGUAUAGGCAACCAAGUAGUCCUUUACCGCGGACGCGGCUAUUCGAAUAGAUCAUGUUAACCCUGCAGGGGUGUACUUCUUCAUACACGCUCUCACCACUUAUCGUCGUUUACACGACAUGUACUCGGCAACCUUCAAGCGGAAGCCCAACGUGGGUGUCGGCCACGACCUACCUAAUCACCUAAGCUUCCAGUCCAGGUUUAUCGCCUAUUCAGGUUCCAUCCGCAGGGAGUCCGGCCGAGGUUUCCCAUACGGCCCCGAACGAUGUGAACAGGGUUCCCGAGAUACCUAACGGGUAUUUGGUACACCCGGCCACGUACCUACCGCAUCACAGCCCACCCCUACGGUCAGCGCUGUCCACGGCCUCCAGUAGGCUACAAACACCAGAAACUACUUGCAACUCCUGGACGGAGAACUAGGGUGAAUAAGAAGUCGAGAGGGUCCAUUGGUUUCGGGACCAAUGCAUGGUAGUAGCUGAUUCUUAAAUCACACAUACAGAUCUCAGUGCUUAAGGUCGGCUUCAAUGAAACAACCCACCAUGUACUCCUACAUGGCCUCUCAUCGAUACCUUUACCAAAUCGUGUUCACCACACCACUCCCAUUACUGACAUAAUCAUUUCACUCUAGCCCAUCACCCAGAUGAACCAGACCUGACGCAACUCUAAGCAUAGCAGGCAUAGCAAGGUAGGAACAACACAUACAUAUGGCUCAAUCAACUCCUACACAUGCUAGUGGGUUUCAUCUAGUUACUGUGGCAAUGACAGGUCAUGCAGAGGAAAUGGGUUCAACUACCGUAGCACACAGCAGUUUGAAUCGCGUUGUCUUAAUGCAGUAAAAGAGAGCAGGAGCGAGAACAUGGGAUUGUAUCGAUAUGAUCAAAUGGUUGGUUGCUUGCCUGAUGGUUCGUUGCACGGAUACGGUUCUUCGUUAGGGUAAUCACGGUACUCCUCGGGAACAGAUCCUGUCGCAAAGGACAUCGAUACACAAACAUCACCAAACAAUAUGCAACAAUAUGAUGCAUGCAUGAAACAUGGCAAUAUGAGUGUGUUGGGCUAAUGCAACUAAAACCAGAAGGGUUUGAACAAAUUUGAAUCAAAGAUUCAAAUUUCAAUUUCAAAUAUGGCCUUUUAAAGGGCCUUUCCUUGUUCUGAUUAAAACAUCAACUUAACUUGUUUGAUCAUGCAUGAAAAUGGUACAGAUGGAUAGAUUGGAUUUUUCUGAUCAUUUUUCAUAUAUUAUUUGUCCAAUUUGGAGUUACAGAAUAAAAGUUAUGAAUUUUUGAAGUUUAAAUAAUAUUCUGGAAUUUCCUGAUUUAAUUUAAAUCCAGAAAUAUCAUUUACUGCGUCAGCCUGACAUCAUAGUGACAUCAGCAGGUCAACAGGGCUGGCUCGGGUCAAACCUGACGUGUGGGGUCCACACGUCAGUGUCACAGGGGCUAAUCCCGCGUUGACCCCGGGCUGGUUAGCUUUGACUAAGCCCUGGGGCCCACUUGUCAGCGUCAGUAGGUGGUGGAUUAGUGGUUAAUUAGCUGGGCCACGUCAGCUCGCCGGAGUUCUGGCCGGCGGCGACCAACAGUGCGGCGGCGAUAGUGGUUUUGGUCGUUUCGGCCACCAAAUGGAACGUGGCGACCACCGGAGUGAAGCUGAGGACGACCCGCGGCUCUUGGCGGAGUCCGUUGGGGUCGGGGUGGCCGGAGUCGACGGCGGCGAGCUCAGCUGUGGCCGCCGGGGUUCGGUCGUGCACGGGAGUGGUGCUGGAGCUCGAAGUUGAGCAAAGUGAGGCGCUAGGGAGGCUCUACUGGGUUCUGUGAACGCGUUGGACUCGCCGGGGUGACCAAGUGGUCACCGGAGCUGCGUCGACGGCGAGCUCGGCGACGGCGGAGGUUCGGCCGAGGUGGGGAUGCAGCUACGGUGAGGGAACGAGGGAAAGAAGAGGGGGGAACGGUGGCGUAGCUCACCGCGGUUGCAGUGGGCGUCGAAGCGGGCUCGGGGACGCGCUGGAGACGGCGAAUUCGUCGGCGACGGUGGUCGGAGUCCGAAGAGGGGAACGGCGACGUGGCGGCGAUGCAGGGCUUCCGGGGACUCGUGGAGCGGUGGGGAGGAAGAGGGAGUCGAGGCGGAGCUUCUGAGCUACUCGGGGGAGCGAGGGGUGGCCGGAGUCAGUGGCUACGGCGAACGGCGGCGACGGUGGUGUUCGGCCGAGAGCGAGAGAGAGCGAGGGAGAAGCGGGGGAGAGUGAGAGGGAGCAGGGGGGAUCGGGACGGGCUGCGGGCGUCGUCCACGCGGCCAGGGGGGCGUCGGCAAGCAGGAGGUGGCCGCGCGGCCGCGCGCGCGCGAGCACGCAGCAGCUUCGGGGCGUGGGGAGGAAGACGACGGGGAGCUACAGUGCUGGGCUGGCUAGCUGGGCCGGCCAGCUGGCUGGGCCGCACAGGUAAGUUUCUCCUCUCUUUUCUGUUUUCUGUUUUAAUUAAUAAUUCUGCAACUUUGUUGAAUUAAAUAAAAUACCUAGGCAACUCCAAAAAUCACCAAACUACUCCUGGUCCAUAGUUGGAAUAUUUCCAACAUGAAACAUUUUAGUUUGGAGAUAUUUGAGCAUUAAAAUAUUUUAUAUUAUUUUAAAUGCCCAAAUUCAAAUAGUUAUGAUUUAACUCAAGAACCCUAGGAUGGCCUAGAAAAGUGUGCACCAUUUUUGGCAGAGGUUCUGAACCAAGGCAAAAAUGAUGGGCAUUUUAGAAGGGCAUUUCAGGUUCAUUGAAAAUUAUUUUAGUAAACCCUAGUUGGUUAUCAGAGGGGACUGGGGGUUCUGUCAUCCCCAUUUCAAGUUUCUGAUGCAAAAGUAAACAUGAUGCAACACUCUAAUGCAUGACUAGCUAGGGUGUGACAGAAUAUCCUUCGUUGACCGUGAGAGCUUGUGAUGGGCUAAGUUGGGACACCCCUGCAGGGUAUAAACUUUUGAGAGCCAUGCCCGCGGUUAUGGGCAGAUGGGAAUUUGUUAAUAUCCCAUUGUAGAGAACUUGACACUUAACUUAAUUAAAAUGAAUCAACCGCGUGUGUAGCCGUGAUGGUCUCUUUUCGGCAGAGUCCGCGAAGAGAACACGGUCUCGUGUUAUGCUUGAACGUAUGUAGUUUCAGGAUCACUUCUAGCUUCUUGACUGUGUGUUGCUUCUCUUCUCGCUCUUAUUUGCGCAUGUUAGCCACCAUAUAUGGUAGUGCUUGCUGCAGCUCCACCUCACUACCCUUUCCUACCCAUAAGCUUAAAUAGUCUUGAUCACGCGGGUGUGAGAUUGCUGAGUCCUCGUGACUCACAUAUACUUCCGAACAGUUGCAGGUGCCGAUGAUACCAUUGCAGAUGACACAAUUGAGCUCAAGUGGGAGCUCGAUGAAGAUCUUGGUCGUUGUUUCAUUUCGAUUUCGGAUGUUCAGUAGUGGAGCCCAGUUGGGACGAUCGGGGAUCUAGCAUUUGGGGUUGUCUUCUUUUAUUUUGGUUCCGUAGUCGGACCUUGAUUGUAUUCUGGAUGAUGUAUGUAUAACUUGUAUUUGUGUGAAGUGGCGAUUGUUAGCCAACUCUUUAUCCCAUUCUUAUUUAGUACAUGGGAUUGUGUGAAGAUUACCCCUCUUGCGACAAACCUACCAUGCGGCUAUGCCUCUAAGUCAUGCCCCAACACGUGGGAGAUAUAGCCGCAUUGUGGGUGUUACAAGUUGGUAAUCAGAGCCAUCCCCGACUUAGGAGCCCCCUGCUUGAUCGAAUCGCUGAUGUUGUUGAGUCUAGAACAAAAUGUUUUGAAUCUUAGGAUUAUAUAUAUCGGAGAGUAGGAUUCUUUUGACAACUCAGUCCCUUCGUCGCUCUGUUGAGGCCUCCUGACGUAGAGUUUUGACUCUUCUCUCCUCAAAUUUCACGAUUUUUUAGGAUCACGCGGGUAUCUUGGAAUCGUUCCGAUAGUCUUGUGAUAAUAACAUUGUUCUUGGUGCCUCCUGACAUUUAUGGGUUGUGGCCGUGUCCCGGGGAGUUGAGCUUCGAGGUGUUGUCGUCACAAUUUUAUCGUUGCAGUUCUGGAAUACCUGAGUUCGCCGACAUCGGAAAUCUCUUUUAUGCAGUUGUUGGUGAGAUAACCUCGACGCCGCCCAGUACUGGGGCGAGAGUUCAAGAGUAUUACCAUAACUCGUAUAACGGAUGCUUUUCGAAGGUUGAGGUAAAUGAUUUCCGAAGGUUUCUUGGUUAUGUGUUGAAGGAUGGAUACAGCUGGAUGUAGGAUUUGUUACUUUUGGGUGAGAUAUUAUGCUUCCCCUGUAUCCCCAACACCUGAUUGCAUAACCAGAAAGUUUUGGGAGUUUAUAAGUGGGAAUCCAAGUAGCUCCUAGAAUAAUCUUUCAACAGACACAUGAUAAGAUAUGGGAUCUAUCAUAUGUUUGUUUCCGGCUUAUUUUGCAAGCCAAUCCUUGCUUUGUUUUUGUUGUGAUAUUCGAGUUGCUUCAGUGUCAAGUGUUGAUUCCAUACCUUUCCUAAGCGAUAUUCUCACAUUUCUAUGUGAAUAUUAAUUCUUCAUGAUAAUCGAGAUUGUCAUGUCAAUACUUUUCAACCGGUGUGUUUCUCUUCAAGUGGAUCCGAUCAUUUUCAACAUUUGCAAGAUCAAUGCUCAGUUAUUCACAACGGUGUUUGUUUCAUCCGUCCUAAGUUGUCUUUGUUUUCCCGCCCUCCCACCCUUUUUCUUCAAGGACUCGGAUUUCUUAUUAAAGUAUCCUUUUAUUGUUGCGAAGCCUCUCCAUUCUUUUAAGUCAAUGUUGAAAGGAUCGAUAUGGUUGACUAGAGGGGGGGGUGAAUAGGCAACUAGCAAUUUUUAGCUUUGCUUUAACAAUUUAAACUUUGCAUUAAAGUAGGUUUUUUAGAUAUGCAACUAAGUGAGCAACCUAUAUGAUGCAACAAAGAUAGGAACACAAGCAAGCAAGAGAUAUAUCACAGAUAAGCUUGCACAAGUAAAGGCACGAGAUAACCAAGAGUGGAGCCGGUGGAGACGAGGAUGUGUUACCGAAGUUCCUUCCCUUUGAGGGGAAGUACGUCUCCGUUGGAGCGGUGUGGAGGCACAAUGCUCCCCAAGAAGCCACUAGGGCCACCGUAUUCUCCUCACGCCCUCACACAAUGCGAGAUGCCGUGAUUCCACUAUUGGUGCCCUUGGAGGCAGCGACCGAACCUUUACAAACAAGGUUGGGGCAAUAUCCACAACUCAAUUGGAGGCUCCCAACGACACCAUGAAGCUUCACCACAAUGGACUAUGGCUCCGCGGUGACCUAAACCGUCUAGGGUGCUCAAACACCCAAGAGUAACAAGAUCCGCAAGGGAUUAGUGAGGGAAUCAAAUUUCUCUUGGUGGAAGUGUAGAUGGGGGCCUUCUCAACCACACCCGAGCAAAUCAACAAGUUUGAUUGGCUAGGGAGUGAGAUCGGGCGAAAAUGGAGCUUGGAGCAACAAUGGAGCUUAGGGUUGGAAGAGGUGGUCAACUAGAGGAAGAAGACACCCCUUCUAUAGCUUAGGACAAAAAUCCAACUGUUAUCCACCUACCAGCCUGCGACCAGCGGUACUACCGCGCCAGACCAGCAGUACUACCGUAGGGCCACGCGUUACUUCUGCUUGCUGACAAGCGGUACUACCGCAAGGCCCCGCGGUACUACCGUGCGGACCCGUGGUACUACCGCAGCAGCAGCAGCUAGGGCAGACCUGUAGCACAAGAGCUGAGGGUGGUACUGCCGCGGGCGCGGUACUACUGCUCCCCCUUGUGGUACUACCGCAAGGCAGGAAAUCCCUAGCCUGGGAAGAGCGCGGAUAAAGAAACAUCCGUUCCUACUUCUGCUGGUAAAUGGAAGAAGCAAAAAUCCGACACAGUACUACCAUAGAGGAGCGGUACUACCACCUGGCAGCUGAUCCAGGCCGCGCACGGUACUACCGCACAAGGGAUGCGGUACUACUGCAGCAGUGCGGAUGUAAAAAAUUACAUCCGCCCCUACUACCGCGAAGGAGCGGUACUUGGCCUGGGGGCCACGGUACUGCGGCUCCAGAGGAGCGAUACUACCGUGGGCACCUGCGGUACUACCGCGCCGAAGUGGGGUACUACCGCUCAACAAGGAGCCGUACUACCGCAAGCACACCAACAACAGUCAGGACAAGGGAAAAGAGGAUCAAUGGACGAUGCUCCAAAGUGCAGGGGAAAGGAGGGGACAAGGAAGAAAACGUGUACGUGAUGAUUCCACCCAAACCUUUCUGAUGCGGACCCCCUCUUGAUAGUACGGCUUUCCUACGACUCAAAUCCACCAAAAAGAAAUGUAGAAAAGAUGCCUUCUUCAACAGUCUUUGAGGGGCACCAAACCGUCUUAUGCCUAGCGAUGAAACGUCUGGGAAACUCAAGGCACACGAUUAGUCCACAAAAGCAUUGUCAUCAAUCACCAAAACACCUUAGGGAUAAAUAUGCCAUUACAAAUGUUCUUAUCCGGUGAUUCUUAGGAAGAUACUAACAGAGCUUCAAGUUCAUCAUUCUUCGUUCUCUUUUCUUCUCCGUUGGAUUCAAUUCAAGCUUUCGGUGUUGAUCAUAUUCCAUUCCUUGUUUCAAAUGUGUUCUCAUGCCGGUGCACCUCUUAAUCAUCCACUCUUGCUAUUCUAUUGUUCCGGAGUGCUGAAGAUGCCUCAGAAGAAUCGUUUCCAUUCUUAAUCCAUUCAAGUUAUUUCAUGGUUGUUAUCUCAUUCAAGCCAUUUAAUUCAACCGGUGCAAUCUCUCUUUUCAAGCAAUCGCUUCAACGGUGUAUCUUUUGAGUGGGCCCUAACCCACAGGUCUUUUCCCAGGAUCUUACCUGACUCUUCUAAUUUUCCAGAGUUAUUUUCAAAAUCAUUUCAAAGUUUGACGUAAGAAUGAAUUUUCAUCAGUCAAAUGCCUUUCUCCAAGAUCUUUCAAAGUCUUUUCAUCGUUGGUUCAACCUUUCUAAUUUUCAUCCCGGAGUAUCUCAACAAUUCAUGGUGGUAUUUCUCAUCGUCAUUCUCACGUUUCUGAAGUUCGAAGAAGAGUUCCUCUUAAACUCUUACCCUUUCUUCCAAAGAUGGGAAGUUCAAGCUUGAUGCCAUCCUUUCAUAAUUGUUUUCGAUUGCGAGAAUCCUUUUCACCCUUCUGGAGCAUUUCAGGAGUUGUUUUCGUUUUUCUUGAUCAUCCAAAGGCCAUCAUUUCAGAAGAUUUAUUCAUUCUCAGCUUUCAGCUCUCAUUCUCCAAAUCUUACUGGUGCAUCUUUCAAGUGUUCUCUAAUCAGUUCAUGAUAUCUUUGUUCUCUUGUAUCUAAAUUCCAUCAAGUAUUUUCAUUCGUUUCUAAUUCUUCCCGAUGAAUUCCUCCUUUGCUUCGCUCUUUUCCAAUUCUUACGGUGGUUUGUUCAAAGAUUCUUCUUCCUUCGUUAUCAUAUCAAUUCAUUCAUUGUUUCAAUCCUUCCGGUGGUUCGUUGAAGACCUUCUCAAGUUUGCGCUAUAUCUAUCUUAAUCCUUUCUACGAGAAUAAGUAGUAUGCCAAAUCCGUUGCUUGAUAUCAAUUUAAGUUGAUGAAGGAUACGCAUAACAUAAUUCUUAUUCUUAUUAUUGUUUCUUCCAAGUGGUCUAGUUUCUUCUUUACAGAGUUGUUCAUCAUGUCACAUUUCUCGGUUCGAGAUACUUCAUCUUUUUUUAUUCCGGAGUUCCAAGCUCUCUCAAUUAUAUCAUCGCGAAACUCCAUCUAAAUCAUCGCAAGGCUCCACCUUCUGUUUUCAACUUCUUUUUCCUUCAAUCAUCCUUUUAUUACCGGAGUUCUUCAUGGAGGCUCUACAUGGUGGUUCGUCAGGGUUCAUUUCAUUCUUCAAUUGUUCUUCAAGAUUUUUCUCAAAGUUGUAAUCCGCCAAGCUAUACUCUAUAAUAAACAUGGUGUUCAACACAUGUUUAGUUUUGAGGAGUUCAAGUAUUCUUCGUCUUGCAUUUCAAAGUGGAAUUCGUUCUCUCUUGUCUUUUGAGGUGGUGUUAUGUCACUCUUGACAAUUUCCCUUUGUGUUUCAUGAUUCACAAGUUGUCCGGAAUGACAUAUUUUAAACCCAUCCUUUUCAUUUCGUUCAUGAGAUCCUUUGCAAGCCAUCAAUCUCUUCAUUUGACUUAUCUUGGGUUAUAUUUCACCUAAAGCUUUCCCUAAGGAUUGUGCUAUUUAUGGUGCUUAUAAAUGACCCAAGUUCUUCAUUUAUCCUUCCGGUGAAAUAAGCUUCUCGUCUCCUUGUUGAUAUCAAUCCAAUCUAUUGUUUUCAUUAGUCGCAGAAUUUCAUCUCAGUUUUGAGAUGUUGUCCAUAAGCCCACGACAAGCUUAUCCUUUCGUUGUUGAUAAUUUUGAGUUGUGAAGACCAUGUUCUUUCCUUUGAUUAUCCAUUCAACCGGAGUGUUAUGUCAUCCCUUCAAAUUUUUUUCAUCUUAUCAAGUUGUCUUCUCUUUUUCUACCAGAGUGAUGUCCAAAUUAUAUCAUUCUUAUGCCUUCUCUAUCUUGUUUUAACCGGAGUGUUGUGUCAUCUGCUCAAGUUCUUUUCGUCUUAUCAAGUCUUGCAUCUUGUUUCAAUCAGAGUGCUUGCAUCUACUCCCCGUCCAUAGCAACCAUUUUCUUAUGUCUUUCAACCUACAAGGUUCUAGUAAUGUUCCUUGUUCCUUUUUUCUAACGGAGUGUUUUCAACUUUGUUCAUCUUCGCUGUUUUCUUCUUUAAAUUUGUUCAACCUCGCAAGGUUCUUUGGUUUCACUCGUUUGUCAAAGAAGCAACUUUGGUUUACCUCUUCAUCUUCUAUUUUCCCUCCGGUGCCAUCCUAGAUCUCGGGAAGAGAUCCUCUUGUGGUGGUGGAGUGUUGUAACGCCCCGAGACCGAUGCACCAGGUGUCUUCCAGUUAUUCAUGUGGAGUGCCUUGUCAUAUCUUUGCUUCUUGCACCAUGCUCAUCUCAUUUGGGUAUAUUGCUUUGUCAUGCCCAUCAUCGUCUUAUUGCAUUGCCUCUUGUCAUUUUGCAUGCUAAUCAUAUACCUUGUGGUAAUCUUCAUAUUGUUGCCAUGUGCAUUUCAUUCAUCCUUAUGUGGUGUGUUGUUGUUAUGAUGUGUGUGAGCAUCAUUCCUUGUCAUCUCUCUCUCAAGCCAUACCCAUGCAUCAUCACCUCUCACUUCCUUCUUCUUUCAUGUUUUUGCAAGUGACUUUAUUCCUCCUCCAUUAAUGUUCGUCCUUUCCCUAUAAAUCAUGCCUCUUUCCUACACCCUCUCUGUCAGAUUUCAUCCCAUUCAAAGUUGUUUUGGUCAGGUUCAAAAAUGAUUGAAGUUUGAGAAUAAUCCAAACUCUAAUUAUUUUUCUGAUUUCUAAAAAUGCCAGAGCAAUUUAUUCAAACCCUACAUAAAUCCAGGGUUCCAGAUAUAUAUUUAUAUAUCUCAUUUUCCUAACCAAAACCCAUGGACUUUCCCCUUUGUUGAUUGUUUAUUUAUAUAAACAAAAAAAUAAAAUAAAGGAAAAGGCCCCUUACUUGUUCAGCUACUCACUGGGCCUCCCAACUCCUACGCAGGCCACAAACCUGCAGCUGGGCCGGCCUUUAGGCCCAACUGCCCCACCUACACCUAACACUAGCCUCGACCGACCUAUCCCUCUCGCUCCCCUGCUCGUUCCCACCGCCGCCAGAAGCCAUCUCCCUCGACUCCUCUAGCGCCGCCAGAGACAUGCACGCAGGCGCAGUCCUCUGCUUCGACCCAACCUCAUCCUUUCCCUCGUUCCCUUGUGCCGCCUCCCCCUCAUAUCGAUCUCUCCCUGUCCUCUCGCUCAAGCUAACCACCCCGCGGCCCCGCGAUCUCGCCUGCCCGCACGGCCAUGGCUUAGCCGCCCUCGACCCGGCUCGCCCUCGACGUCCCCUUCGCUGGAGCCCUUCCUCCGCCUCUGCUUUGGCCACCCACAACAGCCAUGCCGCGCCCUCAAGCGCCUCACCUCCCACAGCCGGUCCAGGACCUCCUCGUCGCCUCCUCGUCUACCCGGCGCCACUGACUCGUCAGCUCUGUCGCCAGGGGAGGAGACCCUCGCCAUGUCCCCUUCGGCCCCGACUCCGGCGAGCGCCGCCCUGUCGACUCUCCUCUGCGCGACACCUCCCCUCUGCUGCCUCGUUCCUUUUCCUGCGAUUGCCGUUUUCUUUCCCGCCUUGCCUCACGCGACCCACAUGGGCGCCGCCAUGGAGGCCACCGUGCCGACCUGCAGCUUCGUGCGUGCUGCCUUGCCUUCCUGCUACUUCGUCCGACUUCGGACGACCUCCAUCGAGCUCGCCCGGCCACCUUCGACCUCGGCGUGACCCUGCCUCCACUAGCAGCCUCCUGGAGCCGGCCAUUUCCAUGGGUUCGGGGAGCCCCAAGUCUUGUCCAUGGCCUCGUUGGCUGUUGAUGUUACGCUGUUGGCUUUCUCCAUCGUCUCCCUGGGCUCGUCAAAUCCUGUACCAGGAGCCCAAGCCGGAAGACUCCGUGGAUGUGCAUCUCACUUGUGCCAUUUUGGGUCGUCAAGAACGUUUCGAGAUUCGCCAAGUACCAUUAUGCCCGGAGACCACGGAUCCGUGAAGUUCCACUACCGUCGCCAUGGAUCCGACAAGUUUGUGAGUACGACCACUUACCAUGACGACCUUGUACCACUACCGUCGAUGAAGACAUGUGCACCGCAAGCGUCAAGUUCAACUAUUGUUGACGGUGAAGGGUUUGGAGUCAUCAGGCACCUCUUUGAACGAACAGGAACGACUAUCGUAGCCGAGAUCGCGAGAACCUCUACCGACGACCUCGGAACGUGUACGACGACCGUCGUCGAAGACCCGUACCUCUACCGCUUCCUAAACAUGUACCACGACUUCCAUGACUUUCGUGAACCGCUACUGCCACUACGGUCGUGAACGACUACUUCUGUCGACGAACUCGAUACGCUUCGAAAACGCACGCUUCGAAGGUAUAGCCCCGAGACAACCGUCCGAGAAUGAUUGCUUGUGUUGUAUGAGAUGCACCGGUUGUCUGCACUGUGUCGGUAGUGUCUCUCGCUUCCAUGCUGUCGACACUUGGGACACCCAGUAACCGGGAGGACCCCACCUUCUAUCGCAUGUUACGCUCCCGUCACUUUUCCUUUUGCACCGGUAUCUCCGUGAGCUAUCGGAACCGGAAUGUUGCCGUGGCACCAUUUCCGUCAUUGUCAUGGCACCCCAUUAUUUCCACCACGGUGACAAAUGUUUCAUAAUUCUCUUAUCAACAUUUUCAUAAAAUUGAUUAAACUUGCAUAUGCCAUUCGCAUCAUGAUAAUAACAUUUAAAAUGUUUAAAAUUGUUGUUUGCAUUAAAUUGCUAAUGCAUAUAGGGAUUUACUGGAAUUGUUGUUUGUUGUUUCCGGCCUCAUUUAAACUUGCCUAAAUGUUUAGUUUACUUAGGCUCCACCUCUUACCAUGUUUAAACAACAUUUAAUUUUGUUGAGUAGUUUAAACGGGAGAGAACUAAAUAAUUAAAUGUGGUGUUGUCGGUGUCAAAACCGGCGGAUCUCGGGUAGGGGGUCUCGAAUUGUGCGUCUAAGGCGGAUGGUAACAGGAGGCAGGGGACACGAUGUUUUACCCAGUUCGGGCCCUCUUGAUGGAGGUAAAACCCUACGUCCUGCUUGAUUUAUUCUUGAUAAUAUGUGUAGUACAAGAGUUGAUCUACCACGAGAUCAGAGAGGCUAAACCCUAGAAGCUAGCCUAUGGUAUGAUUAUAUGUUGUCCUACGGACUAAAACCCUCUGGUUUAUAUAGACACCGGAGGGGGCUAGGGUUACACAAGGUCGGUUAUAAAGGAGGAGAUAUCCAUAUCCGUAUUGCCUAGCUUGCCUUCCAUGCCAAGUAGAGUCCCAUCCGGACACGAGACGAAGUCUUCAAUCUUGUAUCUUCAUAGUCCAACAGUCCGGACAAAGGAUAUAGUCCGGCUGCCCGGAGACCCCCUAAUCCAGGACUCCCUCAGUAGCCCCUGAACCAGGCUUCAAUGACGAUGAGUCCGGCGCGCAGUUAUUGUCUUCGGCAUUGCAAGGCGGGUUCCUCCUCCGAAUACACCACAGAAGAAUUUGAAUACAAGGAUAGUGUCCAACCCUGCAAAAUAAGUUCCACAUACCACCGUAGAGAGAAUAAUAUUACCACAAAUCUAAUCUGCUGACGCGUUUUGGCAACAUGACAUCAUUCCAUGGCCCGGUGAUUAUUCGAACCUUUUUUCUUUAACCAGCCCCGCACAUAAUGCGAGGCGGUUUCUUGACACGUCUUGUCAAAGCAGAGAUCGUGUCCCCCUCAUUAUGGGAUUCUCAUCAAUACGGGCGUGGGUAACCCAAUCGCGCCACCAAUUAUGGCGCUUGGGGGAUAAGCGAGUUUUACCAGGCUAGUGGGGACGCAUAGUUUCGUCCGCCCUUAUAAAGGGAUAAGGUUUAACCUUCUUCUACCCACACCUUCUUCCUCCUUGCUCAUCCAUUCGCGUGCACUCGAGCUCCAACGCCCAAGUCCACAUCCUUCUCCUCAACCUUCUUCAAACAUGUCCGGAGCGGGAGGCAAGUGGAUGGCUUCCUCCGUUACGGAGGGACACAUCAAAAAGCUGCGCGGGGCCGGAUACUUAGCCGCGGAUAUCGCGCAUCGGCUGCCCGCUGCGGGGCAGAUCGUCCCUACCCCGGAACCUCACGAGAGGGUAGUUUUCCUCCACCACUUCCUCCGCGGACUGGGGUUUCCCCUCCAUCCAUUCGUCCACGGUCUUAUGUUCUACUACGGGCUGGACUUCCAUGAUCUGGCCCCGAAUUUCAUCCGCAACAUUUCAGCAUUCAUCGUCGUGUGUGAGGCUAUCCUCCGCAUCCGUCCCCACUUCGGCCUGUGGCUGAAAACCUUCAAUAUCAGCCGAAGGUGGUGGGCGGCCAGCAAGCGGAAUGCGGCGGAGCCAUGGUGGGCAAGAUGACUAACGUUAUAUGGCUCGAGGGCUCCUUCGUGGAGACCAUAAAGGGGUGGCAAUCGGCGUGGUUCUACAUCACCGAGCCGCGCGACACCAACUGGGUGGCGGUCCCUGAGUUUCGAUCCGGAAUCCCCAUGCGGCUCACUUCCUGGAAGGAGAAGGGCAUGUCCUGGGGUUCAUCGGUGGAGCUGGACGGACUCUAGAAAUGUAUCCGGAACAUGGCAAGCAAGAAACUUAAGCUUGUCAACAUAGUCCAAGUCAUGCUCUUCCGCCGGAUCCUCCCGUGUCAACAAUGGGAUUUCAACUUAUGGGAGUUUGACACGGCCCGGCACCAGACUCUAAGCGAGCUCUUCGACACGAUGCACAAAGACGUCUGGAGGGUGAUGUUCAAGGGCACCGAGGUCCCUCCCUCUCUCAUCGAGGAACGCGGUCUAAGCGCGAAGCGCCCUACGAAUCCGGUAAGUUCUGUACAUCUGGUAGGAUAUUUACUUCCCAUUGCUUAACCACGUGCAGGGUCUAAGCUCCCAUGCCUUUGACAGGACUGGGUGGAGGCAUCGGAGCAGAUCGACUGUCCGGCCCCUCCGCCCAAAGAUACUGCGAAUGCUCUCCUGACGGAGAUGCUGACUCCGGCUCCAUAUAAGGUGCCGAAGAAGACUAAGAAGAAGGCCAAGGGAACCCGAAAGAGUCCCCGGCGCCAGGUGGUAUCGGACUCAUCGUCCGAUGACUCCGCGACGCACUCCUCCCAUGAAGACGAGGAGGAAGAUGAAGAUGCUCCCCCUUCAGCUGGGGGAGACAAGAAAAGGAAGGCCGCCCCAACCGGGGUGGGGGGGGUGGGCGAAGGGUCCAAGAAGGGAAGGACUCUCCUUCCGGACUGCUCCACCACCGCCGCCGAUGGCGAAGACGAGUGGCUGCUCAGGGUCAAUCCCCUGGCGAAGUCGUAAGUAUUCGGAUACUAGAGUAACUCAUAGCAUACCUCUGUUGCACUGCUUCUCCUAAUGUCGAAUAUUAUUAUGCAGACCGCCCCAAGCCCGUAUCGACGUAUCCUCGUCGGACUGCUCCUUGGACUCGUCGGAUAUGGAUAGUGAUCCACUCCCGACCGCCACCUCCCCUUGCCCUACGGACAAUGCCGAGGUAUUGUCUCAAGAGGCACCAGGUCGAGGGGAGACAGUCCCGGAGGCACCCCAAGGCGACCUUCCGGACUCCGGGAGCAAAGGGAGUAAGGCUCCCGAGGGCUCCGAGUUCGGCCUUCAGCCGAACACUGCGCCAGAACCUCCAGUGGUUCCGGACUCGGGCAGGUGGCCUCCUUCCAACAGGGGCAAGACGCCCGUGCCGGUGACCUCUGUCCAUCCAGAGGCACCGGACAACCUUCUGGGAGCGCUUUGCGGUGCUUCCAUCGAUGAAGAGCCCCGCACUAUUAUGAGUGCGGUGAUCAAGAAGGUUCAGUCUGCUAAGAGCGGACUGACUGAAGCCUAUGCCAGCCUUCUAACAGGCUUUGAGGUAAGUAUUUAAAAUAUAGGAAAAAUAUUACCGCAUAGACAGUAGCCCCAGAUGCUCUGUUUGGUGUUCACAAAGAAAAGCCGAAUAGAGGAUCAAAUAACAUCUGCAGGAGUCUAAUAUAAGUAUGUCUAUAUGCGUAUGCAGGCUUCGCUGCUGACCUCUGCCGCACUGACUGCGGAGGUCGCCGCACUGAAGCAGGACCUCGAGGGGUCCGAGAAAGAGCUCGGCCUUGCUAAGAGGCAGCUCGAGGAGAACAAAGGUAAGUAAUACCUAGUCUAUAUAUAUAUAUAUAUAUAUAUAUAGAGAGAGAGAGAGAGAGUGACACUAUUCUAAUCCCAGCAUCAAAAUAACUAUUUGGAUCACGGCUGGCCCUAUAUAGGCCCGACGGGGUGUUUCCGAACUCCCGAAAAAUAAAAGAACCGGCCCACACAGUUGUCCUCCACCUCCCGUUCCCCACAUCUCCCACGGACGCAGAUCCACCCCGCGCGCCCCCACACCCGGACCGCUGGCGAACCACCGCCCCCGGCACAUCGCGCCUCCCGGCCGCCUCCUCCCGCAACCGCCGCAGCGGUUGCCUCCAUUCUCAACCGCCGCUCGGGCACCUUGUUCGGGAUCCCGCCGCCACCCUGUGCACCGAUGAGCUACAGGACCCCGCUGCCACACCGCGCGUCGUCGGCCUCCCGAAACUCGCCGCCACCUCGUGCGUCGCCGGCCUCCUGAAACCCGCCGCCACCCAGUGCGUCGCCCUAUGUCGCCACCACAUCCCCGUGAUGCGCCAUGCAUAGCUUCGUGCACUGCUUCCCUUUCCUCCCCCACAACUUGGCUGCAGCUUCCCCACCCUCGGCGUGCGGAGUCGUCCUCUCGCCUCUAUCAACCAAAUUCCACUAUCACCAUGGUGUGAUACCCUGUGUUGCCAUUAUCGCGUGGUCGCUUCAUCAAACUGACGUCCACCAUGCCGACCUGUUUUGACACGUCGACUGACGUGGGGGCUUCAUUGUCACGAUGCCGAACUACUCUGUUUCCUCAGCUGGACCGGGGGCUUCCCCUCGGCACUUUGGCACCGUCAUGCUAUCACUUUGUCAAGCCGAGCUCUUCGCUCGGGUACGUCAAGACUAGUUUGGGGGUUGGGACCUUGAGCCGCUACAAGCUCGGCCCACGUCACACCAAGCACAUUAACCAGCUAAGUCGCUUUCAUGCUCAAAAAAAUUUAAGUUUUAAAUAUUUUUUUCGGUUCGACCAAGCAUUAUACUUUUUGGACAAAAAGUCGUUUGCGAAAAACUUUCUUUGUCAAAACCUUGUUUGUUACAAACAAAUUCAAUUAAAAUACCCCGUUUAUUUGGGGGAUUCUUUUAUGAAGCCUCUCCUCUUGCAUAUGAUUAUACUUGUAUGGCUUCGUUCCUUAUUCGUGUAUUACGCCACAAUAUGCACCAUGUUGACUUAUGUGUUCCGCAAGCUGGGUUGCCUUGCUCCUGUGUUUACCCCUACGUUCCCAAUUGUUCGGCUGGGGAGUAAAGGGAGCACCUCUGCGAUUGUCACGAUCGGGUCAUCCGAGCUCGGACCUCAGACUGGGUGAAGCCGAAAGCUAGUGCUCUUAUUGUUUUCAACCAUGGUCGGCACACAACGGAACUCAUGAAUACAAAAAAUCUAUUGCACAAGUCUCAUAGUAACAAUGAGCAACCGAAGAAAGGUACCGAUGGAGGUACUAUUUUCUUCGAAGAUGCUUCUUACACUUCAUCAGUAAUAUAGCAUAAGUUCCCUGAGCGCGCUUUGUCUGUUAUAGCCUUAUGGCCUGAUUGCCUGGUUAUCGGAAACACCGUCGAUAUUCUCGACAGGUGGAGUACAUAACACUUUUCGGCCCUUGUCCAAAGAGGGAGAAGCCGACGGUCGGUUAAGACGCAUUUAAAGUUUGGAUGAACACAUAUAUGAUAUAAGUACUUCGGUACAUACAAUCAUUAUACAUAAAAUUCUUUUACCCAAAUCACUUGGGGGCUCUUAAAUUAGUAUGAGUAGUUUUGUAAUAGAUGUUUUCUUUUUAGUCGUUGCAAAAUCUUUUUCUACCACUCCUUUAUCGACUCAAGUGUAUGAUCAAUAGCCGGGUAGCCUGGUUUCUCUCUAAAGCCGCUCGUGUUUAGUUCGCUAAACUGGCCUGAGAAACACUCCGCCUUCGGGAUAGGGAGGUUGAAGCCGAGGGCUGACCCACUUGAAGUCUAGAGAUCAAAUGUGUCAUGUCAAAGCAUGACGGAAGUACAAUUUUAAGACCAAUUUCUUAUUGGCACCAAAACAGCUUGAUUCAAUCUAGACGCAAAGUUUUUUACGCAUGUUUUUAGCCUUUGGGCUUAUAACAUCUUUUCACCUAUUUUAUGUUUUCCUUUCAGGAAGCAGGACAUUCUCUUGGUUGAGGUUUUCGGCAUGAAACUCUUUUCUAAAACUACAGUUCGACAUCUUUUCUGCCGAACCCCACCUCGGUAUUGUCAAAACAUACAUGACAGUUGAACUAGUUCCCGAGGAGCUACGAUCCUAGGGUCGGCCAUGUUGCCCAACCCAAUUCUCGGGGGGGGGGGGCUACUGCAUUGGCAAUCCAAUGCAGAAAAUUUAAGUGCAAUAUAGUUUUCGAGGAGAUUAUGAUCCUCAGGUUGGUCGGCCGCACCCAACCCGAGUCUCGAGGACUUUGCACACUACUUUUUGUGUCCCGAAGUAUUCUGCCGAGCUAAGAGUUGAUCCUCAGGCCGAUUUUGCGAAUCAACCUGAGUCUCAGGGGCUACUGGGAUCAGCGGUCUUAUGUCAUCCUUCAGGUGCAUCUCGGGUUUUAGACCGAUACACACCUUGAGGGCUACUGGCUAUAUAUCUCGGGAGAGUAUAAAUUGCACCAAUCAAAAAUAUUAACAAAAAAUCGGCCCGCAGUCGGGGUGGUGCACCACCUCGGAAGCAGUCCGGCAUAAAGCUCGGGCGCCAGUGGCUGGCUCCAUAAAGGGCAUUUCCGGCAUUAAGCUCGGCUAAACUCCUUCAACUUUUUUUGAACCAAGGUGAUCUAUGGCACAUCGGACACAGUCCAGCGUUGGAGCUUGGACACAGUCCGACAUUGGAGCUUGGACACAGUCCGACGUUGGAGCUCAGAUAAAGCCCGGCGUUGGAGCUUGGACAUAGUCCAGCGUUGGAGCUUGGGUGCAUUCCGACGUUGGUGCUCGGGUGCAAAAGAUACCUCGAAUGUAGUUCGGCGUUGGAGCUCAGAGGCUGCCGCCCGGGAACAACUUCAAACCCAAGGUGUGGCAUAAAAAUAAAAAGGCAUUGAUAAAGGCCGCAAACUUAAAGGGGCUCCUUGGAUACCCGACGUGUAAACUCUUCGGAUGCACUUCGGCGAUGCUCAAGAUCGAAGAUGAUAAGAUUUGUUGAACUAGUUUUCAAGACCAAUGACCGAAGAUGAAGAACAGUUUGGAAGAAUCGAGGUGCGUCCCCAACUUGAAGACCAGUUCAGGGGGCUACUGACGGUGUCCUGGACUAGGGGGGGUACUCACCACGUCGUCUCCCGACCAGUGGGUCGGGCCGAGGACCCCCAUGGCGGUUCACUAUUGGGCCAGUUCGGACAGCCCAUGUCGUAUACAAGGGAGAUCCCACAAAGACUUGGCGCUCAAGACGAGGACUCUCCUAAACCCUAGGCAUCUGGUGUGUUAUAUAAACCGAGGCUAGGCUAGUCAAUAGACAUCUCAUAUUCAUUACUACAAUCUCGUGGUAGAUACUUGUAUUAUGUACUAUCCCCAUAUGAAUACAAUCAAAAGAAGGAUGUAGGGUUUUACCUCCAUCAAGAGGGCCCGAACCUGGGUAAAACCCCAUGUCCGUGUUACCAUUGCUCCAAGACGCCUAGCUUAGGACCCCUACUACGAGAUAUGCCGGAUAUAGAAUCGACAUAGCCCAUGCUCACUUUUUGCUCAUCAUGACUGGAAAAUACAAAUACACAUGUCCAGAACAGUAUGACCGAAUCAUCUCCGUUGAGCUCCCUAACAAGCACAAGUACCCAGAGUUAUACAAAAUGGUAAUCAAACAUAUGAUGCAUGAUCCUUGCGGUGCAUUGAAUAAAUUUUUUCCAUGCACAAAGAAUCGUCCGUCAUGCAAGAACAAUUAUCCAAGGCCAUUUAAUGAAACUACAAUCCAAGGAAAGGACUCCUGCCCACUGUAUAGGAGACGCAAUGAUGGUCGAACUGAAACGGUACGAAAAUGCCAACUGGAUAAUAGGUGGGUGGUUCCUUACAACCCAUAUCUUUUGCGGAUGUUCAACUACCACAUAAAUGUUGAGAUAUGCUCGAGCAUUAAAGCCGUUAAGUACUUGUUCAAAUACAUCUAUAAGGGACAUGACCGAGCAUCUGUAUCUGUAACUGACAAAGUGGACGAAGUUGAAAUUGACGAGAUUAAACAGUAUAGAGAUGCGCGGUGGGUGACACCUCCGGAAGCACUAUGGAGAAUAUAUGGCUACGAAUUAAGCAAAAUACACCCACCAGUCUUGCAACUGCAGCUACAUCUUCCAAAUUUGCACAUGGUUUCAUACCAUGGCAUGGAAAAAAUAAAGAAUAUUAUCGACCGUGAUGGCACAUAAAGAUCAAUGUUGACCGCGUACUUUGAAGCAAACAACUUACAUGAGAAAGCACAAGGCAUACUAUACAGAGACUUUCUGGAAUAUUAUACUUGGAAAAUACAAGGGAAGUUUUGGCAGGAGAGGAAACGAGGCACUGUCUUCCAGGUUGGCAGGAUGGUCUCGGCACACCCGGCUGAAGGAGAACAAUAUUAUCUUCGAGUACUCCUAAACCACAUUCCAGGCGCCACCAGCUAUGAAGACCUACGAAUAGUCAACAGACAAGUAAUGCCAACCUUCCGUGAAGCUGCAGAAAAACGGGGGCUCAUCGAGGCAGACAACACACUAGAUGACUGCAUGACAGAAGCAGAGUUGUUUCGAAUGCCAUCAUCACUACAAAGGAUAUUCGCGACAAUCUUGGUUUUCUGCGAACCCAGUGACGUACGUGGCCUAUGGAACAAACACCUUGAUGCAAUGUCAGAAGACUACAGCAGAAACUGCAAAUGCAAGCACACAAUCGAACAGAUGGUGCUGAGAAAUAUCAGGGAUAUGUUGCACUCAAUGGGAAAAGACAUAGAAUCAUUUCCUCUUCCAGAGAUCGACAAACGACAUGAGACGACCAACGACAUACCUAGGGAGAUCGUUGAGGAGACCUCCAUCGAGGUUGACCCUGAGGACGUAUCGUUGCAUAAAAACCUAAACAUCGAGCAGAGGAAGGCCUACGAUGAAAUCCUAGCCACAGUUGACCGCCAAAGAGGAGGUAUAUUCUUUGUCGAUGGGACGGGAGGCACAGGAAAAACUUUUCUUUAUAGGGUGCUCUUGGCCACAAUACGCGGACAAGGCAAGAUUGUCGUGGCAACGACCACUUCCGGUGUUGCUGCUUCCAUAAUGCCUGGAGGGAGGACCGCACACUCGAGGUUCAAGAUUCCACUAAAAAUAGAUGAUGGAGCUAUUUGUAGCUUCACAAAACAGAGUGGGACAGCAAAGCUACUCCAAGCAGCAUCACUAAUAAUCUGGGAUGAAGCAUCUAUGACAAAGAGACAGGCAGUGGAGGCGCUAGACAAAAGCAUGCGGGACAUAAUGGAUAGACUAGAUCUUCCAUUUGGUGGAAAAACGAUCGUAUUUGGGGGAGAUUUUAGACAAGUGCUACCUAUUGUCUGAAAGGGAACAAGAGCCCAUAUAGUAGAUGCAUCACUACGCAGGUCGGAGCUCUGGAAUUACAUGCGUCAAUUGAAGCUUGUGCACAACAUGAGGGCUCAAACGACCCAUGGUUCGUAGAAUACCCACUACGCAUUGGAAACGGAACCGAGAAGACAAAUGAUGAUGGUGAAAUACUUCUACCUACAAGUAUAUGUGUGCCAAAUAAGACGGAUGAUACCGGCCUGGAUAGACUUAUUGAUAGUAUCUACCAAACGGGAAAUGCUUACCUAAAAGAUCGAAAGUACAUCACGUCAAGAGCAAUUUUAUCCGCAAGGAAUGACUGCGUAGACAAGAUCAACCUAAAUAUGAUUGAUCGCUUCCAGGGGAGGAGAUGGUGUACCACAGCUUCGAUUCUGUAGAAGACGACCCACAUAACUACUAUCCACCAUAAUUCCUAAACACCCUAACCCCAAAUGGACUGCCUCCACAUAUGCUGAAGCUAAAAAAAUUUGUCCAAUCAUACUACUCAGGAACAUCGACCCUGCUAAUGGGCUCUGCAACGGCACCAGACUGGUCGUACAUGGAUUUCAGAAAAAUGCAAUUGAUGCAGAGAUUGUGGUAGGCAGCACUCUGGAAUGCGAGUUUUCUUGCCUCGGAUACCAUUAUGCCCAUCUGACGAUGACAUGUUCCCGUUCAGUUUCAAGAGAAAACAGUUUCCAGUCAGACUCAGUUUUGCAAUGACAAUAAACAAAUCACAAGGCCAGACAAUACCAACUGUCGUCGUCUAUGUGCCUAAGCUUGUUUUCUCACAUGGUCAAUUAUAUGUCACGCUUUCUAGAGCAACCGCGACAUCAGACAUAAAGGUACUAACAGGUACACAUGAUGUGAACAAGGGGACAAAUAAAAAAAAUAAAGGGGACACAUACCCAAAGGAGAAGAAGAAAAGGAAGAAUAGGAUCAGUACAAGCAGUACAUACACAAAGAAUAUUGUCUACACAGAAGUCUUGACCAAAUAAGUAAUGCAAUUUUUCAAUUUUGUGUUUAUAAAUUCAGUUUCAACUUAGUACAUUCAUUCACGACCAACUUAAUAAUUAGUAUUACACAUUGAAUCUCUAAUUUUCUAACCUUAAAAUUACUUCUUGCAUUCUUCAGGACAAUCAAGCUAUCAACUUCGGAGUUAGAAUUCAGAACUACUUGAUUGUCUUGAAGGAGGAUGUCUUCAUGUUCUGAACCACUAACUUAUUCAUUGAUAUUUAUUUAUAUAAUAUGUCCAAUAAAUUAUUAAUUUUUAUUCAAAUAUUUGAUCACUUUGAUGAUCUCUAUUAUGGUUAUGCAAUCUAUAUAUGUAAAUUUACCAACGAUGGGUAGCUAAGGUGAAAUUGAGACUUACCAGUCAAUACAGAGACAUAUUUCUCGCCUUGGAGCUGAUGUUGUUGCACUGAUUUUUCUAAACAUCGCUUUAUCUAAGUCCAAGAAACCUGAAAAAUAUCUGACACAUUGUAAGAAAAUACAUAUCAAUUUCACAUUGUAAGAAAAUAUCUGACAAUUUCAUAAUGGAUUGAAACCCUGCAUAGUGUAGCGUUGCAUAUUUUUGAGGAAAUUGUGAUGCUCUGUUUCAUCAGGAUUAAGAUGCUUGAACAUGUAAGUAGUGUACUAGCGGCCAAUAGAUAUAUUUCUCAUGCUGACUACGUGCUAUCAAUUGUGCCAUACACAUUAUUUAGUAACUAAACAAAAAGUGUCAAAAGCUAGCCACCAAAGCAAAUCUGAAUCUGCUACUAUGCUACUACUGCCACAACUAACCAAGGUUGGAGCAUAGGGAAUAAGCUGCUCCUCCACCAACCGCAUAUAGGGGGUGACGGGGUGGGACUGAAGGAGAUUGGGAGAUCCGGAGAGGAAGUAAAGAGAGAAGAAGGGAAAUGGCACGCAUUACCUUUACAAUAUUGGAGGCAACGUCACGGAAGCAGGCAGAGGCG